rnacentral:lncRNA from 1 species
GCGCGGCGCGGGUUCAUAGGUCUCGGAUCCAGCGCCGUCUGUAUCCUAUUCGUAUGAGGAACCUCGGCUAGGAUAGGAUUUAAUUAGUUAGGUUUUGUAUUAGGGUAACACCACCUAGGGUUGGAUUGAUUAUCCGUAACAAGGAAUCAAUCUGACGUUCUAGUUAGGGUUUGCUUGGUUGGUUGUGGUCAGAUUUUGGUUUCUCAUGAAUUCUUCAACUGUGCCUGUCGCGAUUUUGGGCGGAAAUUGAUGAUUUCGGGGGCAAAAUCCGAGGGAUUUUGUGGAUGAAAGAUGGGGAAACUUGGGGAAAUGCUAGAUCCACUCGAAACCAAGCAAAUCCAUGGAUCAAAAUCAACAAAACUUCAUCAUGCCAACAAAUCACAAAUAAAUAAAUAAAUAAAUAAAUAAAUAAUUGGGGGGCUAUUUUUGGUGGGGAAAUUUCGAAUUAGGACGAAAAACAACAAAAUCAAAGCUACUGAAAAAUCAAAGCUACGAAAAUAAAUAAAUAAAUACAUGUUAGAGAAUGAUGUGCCUGAUAAAGGAUUUGAGAAGCUACUGAAAAUAAUGAAGAAGAAGCUUCCAAAGGAUAACGAAUUGCCCGACAGUACAUACGCAGCAAAGAAGGUCGUAUGCCCUCUAGGAUUGGAGGUGGAGAAGAUACAUGCAUGCCCUAAUGACUGCAUCCUCUACCGCGGUGCCUACAAGGAUCUGAACGCAUGCCCGGUAUGCGGUGCAUUGCGGUAUAAGAUCAGACAAGAUGACCCUGGUGAUGUUGAUGGCGAGCCUCCCAGGAAGAGGGUUCCUGCGAAGGUGAUGUGGUAUGCUCCUAUAAUACCACGGUUGAAACGUCUGAUAAGAAACGGAGAGCAUGCCAAGUUGAUGCGAUGGCACAGUGAGGACCGUAAGAAAGACGGGAAGUUGAGAGCACCCGCUGACGGGUCGCAGUGGAGAAAAAUUGAGAGAAAGUACUGGGAUGAGUUUGCAAAGGACCCAAGGAACGCAUGGUUUGCUUUAAGCACGGAUGGUAUUAAUCCUUUCGGGGAGCAGAGCAGCAAUCACAGCACCUGGCCCGUGACUCUAUGUAUGUAUAACCUUCCUCCUUGGAUGUGCAUGAAGCGGAAGUUCAUUAUGAUGCCAGUUCUCAUCCAAGGCCCUAAGCAACCCGGCAACGACAUUGAUGUGUACCUAAGGCCAUUAGUUGAAGAACUUUUACAGCUGUGGAAUGGAAACGGUGUACGUACGUGGGAUGAGCACAAAAAGGAGGAAUUUGACCUAAAGGCGUUGCUGUUCGUGAACAUCAACGAUUGGCCCGCUCUCAGUAACCUUUCAGGAUAGACAAACAAGGGAUACCACGCAUGCACGCACUGUUUACUUGACACCGAUAGUAUAUACCUGGGAAGCUGUAGGAAGAAUGUGUACCUGGGCCAUCGUCAAUUUCUUCCGACCAACCAUCAAUGUCGAAAGAAAGGCAAGCAUUUCAAAGGCGAGGCAGAUCACCGGAAGAAGCCCGCCAUGCGUACCGGUGAUCACGUACUUGCUAUGGUCAAUGAUUUACACGUAAUCUUUGGAAAGGGUCCCGGCGGACUAGCUGUUCCGAAUGACGUUGAGAAUCAUGCACCCAUGUGGAAGAAGAAAUCUAUAUUUUGGGACCUACCCUACUGGAAAGACCUAGAGGUCCGCUCUUCAAUCGACGUGAUGCACGUGACGAAGAACCUUUGCGUGAACCUGCUAGGCUUCUUGGGCGUGUAUGGGAAGACAAAAGAUACACCUGAGGCACGAGAGGACCUGCAACACUUGCACGAAAAAGAGGGCAUGCCUCCGAAGCAGUAUGAAGGUCCUGCCAGCUACGCUCUUACGAAAGAAAAGAAAGAAAUAUUCUUUCAAUGCCUGCUCAGUAUGAAGGUCCCGACUGGCUUCUCGUCGAAUAUAAAGGGAAUAAUAAAUAUGCCAGAGAAAAUGUUCCAGAACCUAAAGUCUCAUGACUGCCACGUGAUUAUGACGCAACUGCUUCCGAUUGCAUUGAGGGGGCUUCUACCGGAAAACGUCCGACUAGCCAUUGUGAAGCUAUGUGCAUUCCUCAAUGCAAUAUCUCAGAAGGUGAUCGAUCCAGAAAUCGUACCAACGCUAAGGAGUGAUAUGGCGCAAUGUCUUGUCAGUUUCGAGCUGGUGUUUCCACCAUCCUUCUUCAAUAUCAUGACGCACGUCCUAGUUCAUCUAGUCGACGAGAUUGUCAUUCUGGGGCCCGUAUUUCUACACAAUAUGUACCCCUUUGAGAGGUUCAUGGGAGUCCUAAAGAAAUAUGUUCGUAAUCGCGCUAGGCCAGAAGGAAGCAUCUCCAUGGGCCAUCAAACAGAGGAUGUCAUUGGGUUUUGUGUUGACUUCAUUCCUGGCCUUAAGAAGAUAGGUCUCCCUAAAUCGCGGUAUGAGGGGAUACUGACUGUAAAAGGCACGCUUGGAAGGGACUCAAUAAUAUGCAGGGACGGAUAUUCUUGGUCUCAAGCACACUACACAGUUCUACAGAACUCUACCUUGGUGACCCCGUAUGUCGAUGAACACAAGAACAGUCUGCGCUCCAAACACCCGGAGCAGUGCGACGACUGGAUUACAUGUGAACACAUCAGGACUUUCAGCAGUUGGUUGGAAACACGUCUCAGAGGUGACAACACUGUUUGUGAUGAGCUGUACUUGUUGUCCAGGGGACCAUCUUCGACUGUAAUGAUUUGGAAAGGAUACGAGAUAAAUGGGAAUACAUUUUACACGAUUGACCAAGAUGAAAAGAGCACCAACCAAAAAAGCGGUGUCCGCUUUGAUGCAGCAACCGACAAUGGAAAUGACACAUAUUAUGGUUACAUAGUAGACAUAUGGGAACUUGACUACGGAGUAGAUUUUAAGGUCCCUUUGUUUAAGUGCAAGUGGGUCAAUCUAUCAGGAGGCGGGGUACAGGUAGACUCACAGUACGGAAUGACAACAGUGGAUCUGAAAAAUCUUGGGUACACUGACGAACCGUUCGUCCUAGCCAAUGAUGUGGCACAGGUUAUCUAUGUGAAGGACAUGUCUACCAGACCGAGGAAAAGAAAAGAUAAGGAAGCGAAUACAUCAUAUAAUGAGCCAAAGCGCCACAUAGUUCUUUCAGGAAAAAGGGACAUCCUGCGUGUGGAGGGCAAGACAGACAUGUCUGAAGAGUAUGAAAAGUUUCAUGAAAUUCCCCCCUUCAAAGUCAAGGCUGACCCAAGCAUCCUGAUAAACGAUGAAGAUUAUCCAUGGUUACGGCGCAAUAAGCAAACGACACAAGCGAAGAAAAAGUGAAGACUUUCUCCCGCAACUAUUAUGAUGAUACCAUGCCAACUUUGUAACAGACGAGUAUGAUACCAUUGUCCGGUUUGUACAUGCACAUGCUAUGCCAACUUUUUCAGAGUUCAUUUGAAAACUAUGAAUUUGAAAACCUUGCCAACCGAAGGGCGCUCACACCGGUUUAUAAGCCCGUCCCUCUACACGCCUUGUUGAGCUCACAAACUUGUGAUUCACAUAAAUUUCAAAGAAAACUAAUGGCACAAACAGAAAGUUUAUAAUUUUGCUGACCUAAAAGCAAAAAGAAUUUAAAAAUAAAGCAAAAAACCAAAAGAAAAUAAAUAAUGCAGAAAACAAAACAAAAAAACUUGAAAAAAAAAUAAAAAUAGCACUAAAGAGUUUCCAAAUAAAAUAAAACAAAAUAAAAUAUAAUAUAUAAAGCAACAAAGAAAAAAAAGAGUUUCCAAAUUUGAAAACUAAUGGCACUAACAGAAAGNNNNNNNNNNNNNNNNNNNNNNNNNNNNNNNNNNNNNNNNNNNNNNNNNNNNNNNNNNNNNNNNNNNNNNNNNNNAUAGUUUUUCUAAAACUAAAAGCAAAAAGAAUUAAAAAAUAAAGCAAAAAACAACAAAAACUAAAUAAUGCAGAAAAGAGAACAAAAAACUGGAAAAAAAAAUAAAAAUAGCAACAAUAAGUAUUUUGUUGUAAGUAGAAACAAAAUAAACUAAAUAAAGCAACAAAUAAAACAAAAAAACAAAAAAAAGUGCCACCUACUGGGCACCCACGGCCUGAAUACGACUAGAAACCCUACCAUGGGCCAGGAUUCAGGCCCGCGGGAGGCCCAGUAGGCCCACAUGCACAUAUUGCACGUUUAGGCCCGAAAGCCUGCUUUAGAGAGGAGCUUGAGAGGGAAGGCGCACCGCACCUUAUAAACUGGUGCGGCUCCCUCUCAACAAGCGAGGUGGGACUAAACUUUUCGGCGCGGGGCAGCACAAGGCCUAUGGUCCCGGUUGGUGGCACCAACCGGGACUAAAGGGGGGCAUUAGUCCCGGUUGGUUCCACGAAUCGGGACCAAUGCUCAGUGUAUAUAAACAACACUUGUGAAAAUUUUCAGUUUCAUCGCGCAUUUGCCCCCCGACGACGCCGCCAGGCUGCCCCGCCGCCAUCGCCGUCGCCCGUGCCCCCGAGCCCACGCCGUCGCCGGCCGCGCCCUCGAGCCCAGANNNNNNNNNNNNNNNNNNNNNNNNNNNNNNNNNNNNNNNNNNNNNNNNNNNNNNNNNNNNNNNNNNNNNNNNNNNNNNNNNNNNNNNNNNNNNNNNNNNNNNNNNNNNNNNNNNNNNNNNNNNNNNNNNNNNNNNNNNNNNNNNNNNNNNNNNNNNNNNNNNNNNNNNNNNNNNNNNNNNNNNNNNNNCUCUUCCUCGCCGUCGCCUCUGCCUCGCCCCGCGCCGCUUUGGUCAGGGCCGGCACCGCCCCCCUCUUCCCCCUUUUUUUUGCAAAUAUAGCUUUUUUUCCUGAUUAUGUGUGUAUAUGUAUGAGUAUAUAUGUAUAUGUGUAUAUCUGUUUAUAUGUCUUUUUUUAGAUUUUUUUGUUUUUUGCAUUUUUAUAAAAAUGUAUAUAUGUUCUCUGUGUAUAUAUAUGUUUUAUGUUCAUAGAUUUUUAUUUGAACAUUAUUUUAAAAAAACAAGCAAUACUACUUCAUGUAUUUUUAAGAAGGAAGAAGAAGAAAAAGAAUGAGAGGAAAAAGGAAAAAAGAAGAGGAAGAAAGGAGAAGAAGAGGGGAGGAAGAAGAGGAGAAAUAAAUAAGAAGAGGAAAAAAGAAGAGGAGAAGAAGAAAGGAAUAGAGGAGAAGAAGAAAAAAUAGGAGUGCGGCUAAUCUGCACCCGGGCUCAUCUGCACCCACGCUUAGAAAAAAAUUCAAAAAAAUACUAAAAAAAUUCAAAAAAUUCCAAUUUUUUUUGUGAUGGUAGAUAAUUUGACGCGUGAGGUGCGCCCCAAAAAUCAGCUCACUUGAGCAUCUGAGCAGCUCUCAGCAAAAAAGACAAAAUCAGGGUCUGUAAAAAUGUGUACUGUUCACGCACUGUUUUGACCCGAUUUGUCUUUUUUGCCGAGAGUUGCUCAGAUGUCCAAAUGAGUUGAAUUUUGGGGCGCACCUCACGCGUCAAAUUAUCUACCACCACAAAAAAAUUGGAAUUUUUUGANNNNNNNNNNNNNNNNNNNNNNNNNNNNNNNNNNNNNNNNNNNNNNNNNNNNNNNNNNNNNNNNNNNNNNNNNNNNNNNNNNNNNNNNNNNNNNNNNNNNNNNNNNNNNNNNNNNNNNNNNNNNNNNNNNNNNNNNNNNNNNNNNNNNNNNNNNNNNNNNNNNNNNNNNNNNNNNNNNNNNNNNNNNNNNNNNNNNNNNNNNNNNNNNNNNNNNNNNNNNNNNCCCCUCCCGAUAACUUCAAUACAUGGAGGGUCGAUAUACCCCCUCCCCGAUAACAUUAAUUUCUCCCGUGUAUGUAUCUCGUCAUUGUCGAUAUUACCCCCUUGAAGCGUUGUCGAUAUUAUCCCGGGUCGAGGGUUCUAGGGUCGAGGGAUCGAGGGUUCCAGGAUCGCCCAGGGGUCAAGGGUUCUAGGGUCAUCGAGGGUUCAAGGGGUCGAGGAUCGCCGAGGGGUCGAGAGGGUUCCUAGUGUCAAAGUAUUGAAGAAAUCCAUGGCUUCAUCAUUAGCCGGAAGUAACCAUGGCAUGAUGGUACGAAGUCCUCCAAAGUUAUUCUGGAAUGGAGUCCCGGAUAGGAUAAUUUGCCUUUUUGUACGAAUUUCAGCAAAGGCCUUUCAGAUAAUGAUAUUCGGAAGGUUCUUGCUGAACUUUGUACCAAAAAGUGAAUUAUCCUAUCUGGGACUCCGUUCCAAAAUAACUUUGGAGAGCGUCGUACCAUCAUGCACCUGUUACAUUCGCCUAAUGAUGAAGACAUGGUUUUGUUGAAUCCUUUGACACUAGGCAACCUCCCAACCCCUCGGUGAUCCUCGACCCCUUGACCCUCGACCGCUCAGCAAUCCACGACCCUCUACCCUACCGCGGGCGUCGAUGCCCACGUCACUUGUGGGACAUAGAUGUAGUGUUCAACGCCGACCCCCUCCCGAUAGCUUCAACACGUGGGGGGGUCGAUAUUACCCCCUCCUUGAAGCGUUCUCGAGGAGGCCCCUAACCCUUGAAGCGUUGUCGAGGCCACCCCAAACCCUAGAGAAGCAGCGUCGAGGCCAGUAAUAUGAUUCCUUAUUGUGAUCCUCUAGCUAGUUCUACGUUUGCCACUAAUAUAUCCAUAUAUGUCAUGUUUGAAUAAUAAUUGCCAUGUUGUAAAUAUUUGUAGAAACUAUGGACACGGCCCGAGACAAAGCACAAGAAGCGUUGUUGAGGGACAUAAUCGCACAAGGAAGUGAUGCCCUCGACUCGUUGAUGUUUCUCAACGACAACGAUGGUCUGGAAGGAGAGGGUGAAGAAGCAGCUGGCUAUGAUUUACAUGGCCCCGAUGACCCAAUGCCGGUGCAAGAAGGAGAGGGUGAAGAAGUAGACCGUGAGGACGGCUCCGGUGAUCACCAAACCGAGUCCGGCCAGGUAUAUAUAUUAGUUAAGCCUGUGCUGACUAGCUAAUUGAUGCAUUCAUUGUUUUGGUAUGUACACAUAUUAAUUAACUCUCGUCUUUGUUCUUUUUUCUAGCCCUCCGGAUCGAGCACAACUUUGGUAAAGAGACGAGGCCCGAAGAAAAAGUUGAGCUCGGAUGAAAAGUUUGAGAUCAUACAAAUCACGCGCGACGGCCAACCGAUUGAACCCUACCGGACAAAGAAGGCAUUUGUUGCUCAGUGCGGGGUUCUGGUUAGGGACAAGAUCCCGAUCAGCAUCCAGCAAUGGUAUAAGCCUAAGAACGAAGACCCUGAGGUGUCUUAUGUCAAUGAGAUGCAGAAAAAUAAUCUUUGGACUGAGCUGAAGUCAAAUUUCACCCUACCGCCGGAGGAUGAUCCGGAGAAGCCAGUUAUAGAGCCAUUAAUCAAGUCUUUUGCUCUGGGGAAGAUGGCAGACCUAUUCAGGAAUUGGAAGAAAGACCUCAAUAGGUAUGUCGAAAAAAAUGAGACACCAGAAUUCGUGGGCAAAUAUGAGAAGAUUAGAGAUGACUGGCCCGCAUUUGUGGCCCACAAGACAUCGGAAAAGAGUAAAAAGAUGUCGGCGACAAACAAGAGAAAUGCUCAGAAGAAGAAGCUUCACCAUCGCACGGGGUCAGGUGGCUACCUCGUUGCCCGGCCUAAGUGGGCCAAGGCUGAGAAUGAUCUCCUUGAUAAAGGGAUCGAACCAGAGACAAUGAACUGGCCAGAACGUUGCCGGACUUGGUUCUUUGGGGCCGGCGGAUCCUUAGACCCUAUAACAGGGAAGUGCAUUUGGACGGACGAAAAAUUGGACAUACCAGUCAAGAAGCUUCAGCAAUAUAUCGAAGCAGCGCAGCAAGGGAAGUUCAUUCCAGACAGGGAGAAGGACGAGCUCACAAUGGCCCUCGGCAAUCCUGAGCACCCUGGACGGACACGAGGCACGCCAGGCUCCGUUUCGUGGAAGGCUGGAUUUCCGGAUGCAGGGGGUUACAAAACCCACGAGAGGAGGAAGAAACUGGAGCAGGACCAAAUGCAGGCGCUGCUUGGAAGGGUAAUGGGGCUAGAGGAUCGAGAAAAGGAACGAGAAGCAGCAGAUCGCAACAAACGACAUGCCGAAGCUUCCCCCGAAGCUACCCCGCCAUCUCAGCGGAGAAGCAGUGUGGCUUCCACCAAGCUGCUUCAGCCAGAGCAUGCCUUGACGGCUCCUACCAGCUAUCCCGUGGAUGCUAUCAGGGAUGCUGAAAAUUGCCACCUUAUGGCGCAAUGGAGCAAUUUGAAGGUCAAGGCGGCUGUUGGCUCUGUUUAUCCUACUAAACCCGACUCAACUUUUCACUGCCGGCCGAUUCCAGAAGGAUAUGCUAAGGUGAUGGUCGAUGAAAUAACGGAGGGAUUUGAGGACCUCCAGCUUGACCACCCUACCGGUGAAGGGGAGUAUCGGCUGGGUUCUGCUCUGAAGACUCCAUGCCUAUGGCGGAAGGAUCUCAUCAACCUUCCGAACUGGACGCCUCCGCCUCCUCCUCCUCCGGUGAGUCAGGGCACUCCGCCUCCUCCACCGCCUCCUCCUCCGGUGAGUGACGAUCAGGGCACUCGGCCGGCUCCUUCUCCGGCGCGUGGCGGCACUCCGCCUCCUUCUCCGCCUGCGCCGGCGCGCCUGAGCAGCCAGCCUCCUCCUUCUCCGCCUCGUCAGCAAGGGAGGAAGAGACCCGCCGCCGCUCCGGCUUCUCCGGCGCGUCACAGUCCUUCUCCUCCACCUCGUAAGCAAGGAAAGAAGACAUCCGCUCCGUCUACUCUGCCGGCGUCUAGCAGUACAGCCAAAGGCGGGAGGAGAUACAGAUUCGGUCCUUCUCUGAAGACUCCAGAGAAGUUACCGUACGAGAGGAGCGAGGAGGAAAACGCGAAGAUCCCGCAGACCGAAGUGGAUGACUGGUUUCAAGGGUUGAAAGCAAAGAGACAUCCACCUCCGGAGGAGAAGGUAGAUCCGGUGAAAGCGAAGCGCACUCUGGCUGCCCUGACAAAACCACCCAAGUCUCCGCCGAAAGGCAACUAUGAGCGCAUUAUUGGAAAGGCAUUUGCCGAAGCGGAGAGGUCGGGAAGUACUAAAAGUGAUCAAAGGAUGAAAGAACGACGAGCUGGGAAACAAAUUGCCCAGCUCGGCGAGCAAGCGAAGCAAUCGUGCCCCCCGCUCAAGGUGCCUGCUAGCGACAUCGUCGAUCCGAGGAUGGUGCCCGGUUAUGGCAAUCCUGCAGAUUACCUGCCCGACGAUGUACAUUAUGAUAUCUUGGAGGUGCAGAUACAAAGAUACGAGUACGGGAAGCCUCUCGUCAAAGAUGAAAGUUCUCUAUCAACGAUGAUGCAAAGAUUGCAUGAUUGGUACAUGAAAAUCUGCAAAGAGUCUGAGGGGAGGAGUACUUUGUAUGUGAGAGCUAAAAAGGAGCAUGACCUCCUUGAAAUUGAACUGUUGCCUAUUCCAUUUGAGGAGUUCUAUCAGUUUUUCAAUCAAUUGGCCAUCGAUAAAGCAACGGUCAGCUCCUACUGUCUGUAAGUAGUACUACUUCCGUCAUUAAGUCUCUCUAUAUAACUCAGCCCUUUCAUUGCAUGUAUUUAUAAUUAUCCUCACUAUAUUAUGCAGAUUGAAGAUCGCCGAAUUGAAAAAAAGACAAGUGGGAGAUAUUGGGUUCAUUAACACGUAUCUCAUAGAUGCAACUGAGGUUCAAUAUCGUGCCCAAGAAACCGAGGCCAACUUGCUACGAUCGUUGGAAAUAAAUGAACACAAAGAUAUAAUACUCUUUCCUUACAACUUCAAGUGAGUGUUACUGUCUUGUGGCAUAUUCGGUUUCCUUGUUAGUCCAGGUUAUAGUAAUGUAAUAUUGAUGAGUUAUGCAUGUGUGCGCAGGUACCACUAUAUUCUCCUAGAGAUUAAGCUUGAGAAGGGAGUAGUAACUGUCUUAGACUCCAAGCGAAAAGAUCCCAAGGAGUAUGCGGACAUGACUGAAAUGCUCGAGAAGUAAGUUAAAUCGAUCAUUAUCCACCAUAUCAUCAACUUUAUUCAUUUUUUAUAUCAAGUAAUUGUUUUCUUUGUAUGGCAGGGUUGGAGAAAAUUCACCAAAAAAGCUCCGGGACUACCGAAGAAGCUGCAAUUUAGGCACCCAAAAGUAAGUACUAUAUAGUAGCAUAUUCCAGGCAUCUCCUAGUGAUUCAAGCGCUAGUUUCAUCAAUACCAUUUAGCAUGCUUGCUAAUUAUCAGUUUGAUUGACCUCUAUUUCUUGUAAAGUGGCUGUGGCAGGAACAAGGGAAUGAUUUCUGUGGAUACUACAUUUGCGAGUCCAUCCGCCACACGACCUGUGAGCGGGGCUACUCCAACAAACAAUAUGAAGUGCGUAAAUAACAAUAUUCACAAUUUUAUUUUAUUACCAUCAUUUGUGUUGAGUUUCAUUCAUUCAUAUAUAUAUGUAUUGACCCCCUUCUUAAAAUUAGAUGUUUCGGAUGCGGGAUGAACUCCUAGCACCAGAUCGCAUGUGAGCAAUUCAAGAGGAAUUGGCGGCAUUCUUUCUUGACCACGUGAUCGCUGAAGACGGAGAAUACUAUGUGGACCACGCGUCCGUAUUUUAGGAGAUUAUAUAUUUGUAAAAGAUAAUUAUUGUAUAUAUGUAGCCGGUAGUGUCGGAUAGAUAUACGAGAACUUGUUGUUCGACCUCGGAGAAGGAGAGGUGGUCGAUAUCACUUCUCUCUGUAUGCAUAUAUGUUCAUGACGAUCUUCUGUUUGCUUACUAGCUAGCUAGCGUGUCUAGCUAGUCCUCUCUAUACGUAUGUAUGGUACGUAGCGUCGACCAAGCACGGACAAAAGAGAGGACACUUCUCUCUAUUAAUUAGCUAGCUAUAGCACAAUAAAUGAAACACCUAAAUUAACCCCCCAAAACCCCCCAAACCCCCCCCCCCUUUUAAAAAAAAAACAAAAACCCCAGCCACAGAAAUGCUGACGCGUGGAUGCCUAUUGGUCCCGGUUGGUGCCACCAACCGGGACCAAAGGCCCUCCUGCCUGGGCUCAGCGGACAGGCCACGUGGAGGCCCAUCUGUCCCGGUUCUGGAUUGAACCGGGACUAAAGGGUCAGGGCAUUAGUACCGAACCUUUAGUCCCGGUUCAUGAACCGGGACUAAAGGCCCUCACCAACCGGGACUGUAGGCCCUUUUUCUACUAGUGUUACUGAGGCAGCGCUGGGCCAUGUUGUGGUGAGAACAUACGAGAGAUAAUUGGGGUGUGUGGCUGAUUGCUUCAUAUGCUGCUAAUGAUAUAUGUAGACUGCUGAUUGCUCCUGAUAUACAGUGUCGAUUGCAGCUGAUAGUAGGAUUGUACUCAAUUUGAUAGGUAAAGUGGGAUGUCUUGAUUGUAUAGUGCUCAUAAGCCAGUCCGGGCAUUGUCCUUCCUCGAAUGAAUCUGAGACUACUCCUCAUAUGUUAAUCAGUUGCUCCUCCCUAGCUUUGGUUUUGUCUGAACUUCCAAGUUUUCAUCCACCCAAUGUUGAUUCAGUCAAAGAUCUCUUGGAAAAAUUAUUUCGACAAGAUUCACUCUAUAAUGUUGUUAUCAUUGUCCUCUGGAAUAUAUGGAAGCGCAAAAACUCCAAGGUCUCCCGGGAUGUUUUUGAGGAAUUGCACAUUACUGCUAGCAAGAUUGCUGAUGAUUGAUACCAUGGUCCAACAGGUAUUCACAUGAAAUUAAUAAAUGGCACCUUACGGAUUGGAGUACUCUACUGUAUCACUAUCUGGGAGAUUUUAAUUUUUUCCUUCUAUUAUUUAUCUUAAUCCCUGUGUACUCAUUGGACUUUGUAUAGUUCUUAGUUUUAUGAAGUGGUUCAGGCUGGCGUAAGCCGCCAUAGUCCCAGUAAAAAAAGGCUACAAGCUUCGCUUCGGCCUUUCGGAACUGAAUAUUAUGUAGUUUUAUUGAGAUUAUUGAUAACGCUUCUCUACUAUCAAAGAAGGUAAUAGUCUCUUAUGUGUUUCUUUUUGUCCAUUUGAAUGCACUCCAUUUUUUAGUGUAUUAAUUAACAUCAAACCUCCCAUUCUUUCUAGAGUGCUGAUGUAUUAUUAUUUUCAGCUUAACACAUUUAACUUCCUAUAGAUUUCAUGGUUUAUGCAGAUUAACCGAGCUAAGAAUUUUUGUGAAGCUAAACCUGGUGUUAAGAUGAACGCUGCUAUGUAUAUAUUUGAAACAGUUAGAUACAUGCUUGACAGACUAUAUAGGGGUGAUCAAAACCAUGCGAAGCAUUAUGGGACAAGUUUCUCUACCUUAAAUAAGUGUUCGUUCUCUCGUGUUUACUAUUCGUUUAAGGGUCAUCAACCCGUGUAUUUAUUUUCAUUGACCAAGUUUUACAUUUUUCUUCUGUAGUGUUCAUUGUGCAGUUCUAGAUUGUUAAGAGAGUAGAGUUUAUUGAUUUAUUACAUGGAGAGACCAGUAGUGUCGUAGUGGUCUUGACAUAAUUGCUAACAUUUUCUACUAGACAAAGUUUAAUUGCACUAAAUACAAAUUAGAACAUGCAUAGACAUUUAUCUUCUUUCUACAGAAUGGUUAGUGUAAACGUACUUUGAGUUGUACAUGAUUCUGUAUCUGACCAUUUUAUCUCAUAUGUUGAUGUGGUUGCAGAUAUGAACUUCAAAUUAUCCUGCAAUGUAUUGACUGCUCGGAGCUAACUUGACUACGCCAGUUUUCUUUUAUGGCUCAAAGUAGUUAGUGUCCCCCCUUAUUAUGAGAGAGGUACUACUUCAAACAUCUCUUCUUAAUGUUUUAUGUCAUGGCAUACAAUAUGAGGGAGUGUUAGUUGGCUUGACUUUCGUGGCACUCAUUAACAACCUUUCAGUUUAGGAGUUUUUGUGGCCUCUUAAUCCAUGAGAGUAUGCUCAUGUUGAAGAAGUUAGUCAUAAUGAGGGGCACCAUAAAUGUUUGUUAUCUGGCACAAAUUCCUAAUGAAUAUCACAUGUGAACCUUUUACUGUUGUGUUAAUCAAAUUUCAUUGUACUAUUCAUACAGUAAAAUAUGAGUGCCAUGUCAGAAUAUGGUUCUCGAUCUGAAAGAUCAUAUUGGAAAUUGCAGGUUCUAUGGCAGUGGAGUAAUGUUCGUAAAUUAUAUAUUGCUUUCAUGUUUGGAGCUGGAAUAAUAUAUGUGAUGCAUUUAGUUAUAGUCUUAUAGAUAUACAUGAACAUCCAUUGUAUAUUUCUUGCACGACAUGAUAACUACUAUUAUUUUGAUUGUUUCCGUGAACUAUUUUGACCUUGAUUAAGAAGUAAAAAGUUUUUAGCCUCGUAGGUUGUUUGAUCUACUAUAUCAAGUGGCACCUGGCUUCUCAUGGCUCUCCUCGCAUUUGCCAAAACAAAGUUAGCACACACUACCUAGAGCUCUGGAAAUUAGAACUGAAAAAUGGUCCUGUGGUUUAUUAGCUGAUAUAAAUCAUGCACAAUCCUCUACAUUUAAAAAUAACCGGACACAAAGCAGUAUACUUUUUUCCGAGUACUAUCUUGAGAGAGCCAAGGGGUUCUGCAUUUUAUAAAGAAGAAGAAAGUUGCGUGGUUCCAUACAUGCUUAUCUAAGAAAUAUAUCUUAUCUAUUUAGUGGAAACCAGGCAAAAACCUACAGAUACAAAAGGCACAAAGUCCCCCACCGGUUGUGACCGAACUACUGUUUUUGGAAAUAUCACAUGAGCUAGAUUACUAACAUUGAUGUAAUGCUUGUAUGGCAACCUAUUCCUUUAUUGGUUCAAUUACAGAGUUUUGUUAUUAUGUGAAUGGAGUAAUGGAGAGCUAAGAAAAAACAAGGUAACAGUUAGUGUUACUCUUGCGAGGUAGUUUCAAUCAUAUCAUUGUUUGCUUUCCCUUUUCUCCUGCCUAGGUAUGUACAAUUAUUCCAACCCAGGUUUCUUUCAAGAAGCAUAGGUAUGUGUUUGAGGAAUGUCUACAUGACAAAACACACCUUCAAGUUUGGUGAUAGUUAUGCUAUCAAACUUACAAUGGGGGUCUUAAUUUGUAUUUUUAAUAGAGCACUGGGUUCAUUUGUGAGACUUGUGAGGAUGUGCCUAGGCUAAAGAUGGCUGCUAUGUCGGUACCAAGUGGCAUGUGUUUAAAUGGAGUAUCCUUGUCAGGAGAGCUGAUUUCUGAAAUAUGGUACUUUAUGGGUGCAAGGAUUCACCAUGUUGCGGUCUUCGUCAGCGGAGUGGACUCCUAGGAAUUAGUCAAGGCCGCUAUGUUGUUUUAAGCUGAUAUUCUAUCGUACUUGUAUAUUUUUUUGCUUAUCUAGCUGUUUGCCAUGCAGUUCUCGUUGUUGGUGGGAACAUUUGUUGUCUAAGAUCGACCUCAAAUAUCUGGUGGCACUAUAGCAUGGCUUUUGAUAUUCUAAUGUAUAUCUCUUACAAAAUAUUUCAAGAGCCCGUGGCAACGCACGGGCAUUAUACUAGUGUAAGUAAGGAUGGAGAUGAAGAUGGUGUGGCGACAAGGAUAUAACAAAACGACUGGUUCCUUCAGCCAAAAGUUGGCGACGUUCCUUGUUACACACGCUCCGCCCAACAAACGCUCCAAAAGCCAAAAUACAAUUCCUCAAAUAAUGGCCAAAGACUACUUCCCCACAUGGAAAAGAAAUACGCACAUGGCGUUACAAUGUUAGCUACUCAUGUCUGAGUUCCUAAACCCUUGCAAAACAGAAAGAAAGGUUGUUUGCUAAACAAAAGAAAGGCCAACACAAUCCUAUCCAAACACUCCACAUUUUUACUAUGUGUCAAAAAUAUGCAACUUUUUUUUGGUUUUUAGGUACAUGCCAAUUUUUUUUUUGAAAAACACAAUUUUUUUAUGUUCACACGCCAAGGUAUUUUGUACACAUGGCAAAAUUUUCCGAAGAAGAAAAAUCUCACGACCCCAUGGAUAAUUCAUAACUUUUUGUCUUUCAAACAGGGCAAUUUUAAGUCAUUUUGUAAUGCUAUUGUGGCAAACGAUGGGAUUUUUAAUCAAUUUUCAUGGCGAAUUUGGGAUUCUUUUCCCUACUUUUCCACAUGGCAAUUUUAUUAUGAUCAAAAUGGAGAUCUUAUUAUUCAAAACAUGGCAGCUUUACUAUUAAGAGCAUGGAAAUUUAAGUAUGAUAGAAUCUCCUCCCCUGCUCGGUCUACCCCACAUGCAUGGCGUAUAACAUCCUCUAGCCCCAACUGCCGCCAAACCUCUCUAGCCUUAUGGCAUCGAAAUAGUACAUGAAACACAUCUUCUGCUCCUUGUUUACAUGCAGGACACGUCGGCCGGACUGGUAUGUGUCUAUUAGCAAGAACCACAUUGCAUGGCAGUGUUCCGUGUAAGGUUCUCCGAAGAAAUUUUUUAACUUUCGCCGGACAAUUCAGUUUCCAAACCUUUUCCCAUGUUGGGUUAGCACUAGUGGCUCCCAAACCAUCUGUCCUCUGCAAUUUACGGCCAUGCUGAAAGUACCAUAGAGCAUGGUAGGCCGAUUUCACUGUAAAAAUUCCAUGUUUAUUCAAACUCCAUGCUACAAAGUCACUCAUAUCAUGUGUAGGUAGUGGUAAAGCAAGGACCCGUUCAACAUCAAUCGGCCAGAAGGUUUGCUCCACAAGUGGCACAUCCCAGUGACCUGUAGCUGAAUCAAUUAAAUCACUCACCUUUGAUAGUAACUGGUUACCUCUUGGGGCAAUAAUCAUUCUGGAUGGUGAGUUAGGAAUCCACACAUCCCUCCAAAUAUUUAUUUUUUCACCAUCCCCAACUCUCCAAAUGUAUCCAUGUUUCAGGGUAUUCACCCCUUGCAUAAUGCUCUGCCAAGUGUAGGAGGAAUUAUUUUUUAGCUUAAUUAAUUUACCAGCACAAGAAGCGGCCGUGCUGGGAGUGAAAAACUUCCAUGACUUGAUGUUCACUUGCUGCUGGUACCUUUGGUGGGAGAGGAGAAAGCUUGUGCACAAUGAGCCGGUACAAGAUGCGAAGAGAACUGCACAAGCGGUAUGUGCUUUAGCUGCUAACUAUGCUAUUGCAUGUGAUCCAAAGGCCUCGUUAAAGAGGGGAGGUUGGUGCAAACCCCCUAGUGGAUAUGUUAAGUUAAAUGUUGAUGCGGCCUUUGAUUGGGAUUUGCUUCAGGGGGCAAUGGGAGCAGUCAUCCGAGAUGGUAGAGGACAUAUGGUUGUAGCUGGAAACAAGCUCAUUGAUUCCUGUUAUGAUGUACUAACUGUUGAGGCAAUGGCUCUGAAGUUUGGGUUGAAUAUGGCGCUCACAGCUGGGUGCAAUAGACUGAUUGUCAACUCGGAUAAUCUGGAACUCAUGGAAAUAAUGAAUAAGGAUGGCCAAUAUGCUGGAGAUGUCGCGGCCAUUGUCGAUGAUUGUUAUCAUCUGGCUUGCGAAUUUAGCUCUAUUGUCUUCGAAUUUUGCCCCAGAGGGUCGAAUGGGGUUGCACAUGAACUAGCUAGGAUUGCUAGAAGUUCGCUUUGUAAUGAGUGGUUAGAUAAUGCUCCUUCUGAGCUUCUUCCCCUACUACUUAAAGAUGUAAGUCUGAUCACGAAUGAAUAAAGAGGAAGUAAAGUUGUCAAAAAAAAAAGAGCAUGGCAAUUUUAUUUUUAAUGGCAUGUCAUUCUUACCUUUUUUUUGAGAAAAGCAUGUCAUCUUUAGUAUGUCCUUCUCGCCUGCUAUAUGAAGUAGGCGGACCCUAGAUGGGCUUUCCCAAUAUGGGUUCCUGGGACCGGGUUCCUGCAGAGUUUCUUUUCCUUGUCGUCUUGUGUGUUUCCUUGGCCAAUUUUCAUAUUUUUGUUUGGUUUUCUGUCUUAUGUGUUUCUUUAUGGAUUUUAUUUCUUUCUCAAUACAUGUACAUUUUUCUAAAUACACACUGUAAAAAUUUACACAUCUUGAACAUUUUUUAUUAAUUGGCAUAAACCUAGUUUUGGAGUGUGUGAGCAUUUUUUAAUUGUCAUGUACAUUUUUCUGAAAGGCAGUAUUUAUUUUGUUGAAUUACGUGAGCAUUCUUUACACAUCUUGAACAUUUGUCCAUAUUUUUUUGAAACACAUGAACAUAUUUUUGAAUGCUAUAAACAUUUUUUAUAUCAUGCUGCAUUUGGUCUAUAUUAGUUUAAACUAAGUCAGUGACAAUUAAUAUGGAUCAUAGAGAGUACAAUUUUGUACAUGAUGUUUAUACUUUUAUAUUUCACUUCCAAUAUUUUUUAUUUAUUAAACUCUAUUGUGUUUUUGGAAUAAGUGUAUUUAGAACAUAUUUUUUAAAAUUUAAAUAAAAUGGAGCGAAUGAAGAAGCAGAGAAGAAAAACGAAGGCCGGCCAAAUGUAUGGCGUUCCCUGCCUCAUACCUGCAAAUCAAGCUAAGCAGCGGGUGAUAAUUUUUUACACAAUGUUUAUAGUUUUCUAUUUCACUUUGAACAUUUCAAAAUUUUAAGGAAAUUAUUAUUUUUAAAUAAAUGUUUUUAGUUUUUUAAUAAAAAGGUGAAAAAAAGGAAAUUGAGCGAAUGAAGAAGCAGAGAAGAAAAACGCCCUUUCUUUCAUCAACUGAACUGCGUGCGUGCAUGGAAGGGCUAUCAUCUGCACUUAAGAGGAGUGACUUACCUAUCAUUGUGGAGAUGGACUCUAUUCUUGCAGUCAAACUGAUCCAAUCGAGGGAUUUGGACAAAUCUAUUUAUGCUUGGGUAGUUAAGGUGAUCAAGUAUGUUUUGGGGAUUCGUGGUUCUUGUAUUACUCAUGUUAAUCGCUCUCAAAAUAAAGUUAGCGACUGCUUAGCUAGAUUUGUUAAAUUAGAAGGACAAACCAUGACUUGGGUUGGUUUUGGUCCAGAUGUUGCUGUUGAGCUAACUGUUGCUCAAUGUAUGGACACCAUGAGUUGAGUAAUGCAAAAAAAAAGUUUGCGCAGAAUUAUUUUCGAUUUUUUUGAAAAUUUUAAAUAUGUUUUUUUUUCUUUUCAAAAAAAUACCACACAAAUUUGGCAUUCAUUCCCUGCUUCAUAUCUCUACUCCUAAUGGACGACUUGGUGAAUAGUCUCCAUGGUUUAUUUUCGCCGGGUUUUUUUCGUCAUCCUCCCACCUCACGGUUUCAAAAAAACAACCAAAACCAGAGGCCCGUCCCACGAAACGAAACCCAAUUUGCCCCCGUACCACCACUCCUCCCUCCCCCUCGACCUCCCUUGUCUAGGAUUCCCCGCCACCACUGCGGUAGCCGCCGCCGAAUCCUAGGUCGCCGCACACCGUCGCCGCUGCCGCGAAUCCCCAGGGACGCCGCACGCCACCGCCGUCGUGAAUCACCAGAGACGCCGCACGCCGCCGCCGCGGAUCCCCAGGGAUGCCACCGCCACCGCCGCGGAUCCCCAAGGGCGUGGUCGCGUUGUACUAGACAAAGUGUGGUCGCCGCCGUCCUCUCCUCGUCCGACCUUGACCUCAUCCCUUCGACUCCGGUGACUCCUCUGUGGCCCGGUGGAUGCCAACUGUCAUGGAAUUUUCACGGCAGAUGUUGUAGUGUGAGGACUUCGUCGUGAGGCCAACACAUCUACGCGGUAGCUUGAAGGGGUUGGUCGAAAUCGAGAGACGCGAGGCGGAUCAACAUACAAGACAAGGAUUUAGACAGCUUCGGCCCCGGGAAACAUCAUCCGUUAAUAGCUACAUGUUGUUUGUGGCUAGGUCUCAUUAUGCUCGCGAGGGAGUCACCGUAAACCGGCUCUCCUAGUUAUGUCUAGCCCUAGAGAUUGUUUCUUGUUGCUUGUGCCUCUUUGGGGAGCCUUGUCCCUCCUUAUAUAAGUUAGAUGGGCGGGUUACAUGUGCAGUCCUAUUAGGAUUAGGACUAGUCUACCUUCUAAUACAAACCGGAUACAAGUCCAGGUCUUAACUCCUUGUAAGACAAAUAUUUCUCACGCCUUUCCUCUUAAACCGGCCCACCAUAACAUGAGCCGGCCUUCUGGGCCUUGGGCCUUGUCAUCCGUCUGUCCCGCCCGUCGGGUUACCAGUGAAUCAUAAUGUUCAGUCAGGUUGCUUGUAAACCAUCUGGUCAGUGUGGGUCGCCGGUGAAUCGCCAAGUCCGGCCAGGUUACGCCGCGGGGUAUAUCCCCGACAUCUCCCGUGAUAUCUGACGAUAUAUUUACAAGUAAUGCGCAUGGAUGGUUCAUCCGUGAUUUUAGGGUGGGUUAGUCGGUUGGAAGAUUUGUUAGUUAGCCUACUUAAAGGUAGCACGACGCUUUGGUGCUGUUGUUAGGGUUUGCUAACCCAGCGGAGGAGUCCCUAGUUCUUCUCUUACCCAAAGGAUUACGACCACCGUCUGUCAUUGCCGCAGUCGCCUGACACCAAAUCAACCAUGUCAUCGUCGAGCUCGAUUAGGUGCGCGCUGAGGGGCCGAUCAGUUGAUGUGCCCCUGAUCCCUUGCCCUGACUGUGGCGAAACGGGUAGAUUCUAUCUCUCUAGUACCGAAGAGCAUGAUGGUUGGGUGUUCUACAAGUGCAAACACCACGAUGUACAAUCCCUUUACACUUUGGGUUGACAUUUACUGCAUGAGUAAUUUUUUCUACUGUUUCGUUAGUGCUGGUUUGAUUUGUGUUCACUUGAUUCAUAGGAUCCAUGUGAUUUCUGGCGCUGGGAACUAGAGUACGUGGAUCAUCUUGUUGGUACAAGUGUCCUUGUUGGUGCUUAUGCCCUUGAUGCAAUGGCUGCGACACAGGAUAGAAGGGAACAGCUACAUCGCGCAAAACAACAGUGGGAAAAGACUGCAUGUACCAAGAGUGGCAACAUUGGAGGCAGGACAAAUUACAGCCAGAGAAAUGUGGCAACCAUUACGAAGCACCAAGCUUAUACGAUGUUAGGACUAGGGAGACAAAUUGUUUUCAUGCCGAAGCUGUUGACGGCUAGUGUAAUGGUGUUGUGUGUGUGGUGUGUGAUGUUGAUUGUGAAGAAAUAAUAUAUUUGUGAUCGUAUCAAGGCGAUUAUCAUGGUUACAUGUAAUAACAGCUUAAUAAGAAGAUGUGUUCUAACAUGAUAACUCUUAUAUGCCCCCCAACCCUAUUUUAACAUGACAGGUAAGAGUAAGAAAUAAAUCUUACACGAUGAUUCCAUGAAAUAGUUGUUUUGAUUAUUUCUUACCUUCUUGACUAUUAUGAGAAAAUAAGAGGUAAGACGGAGCAUGUUAAAAUUGCUAAAAAAUAAUGAAUAAACCGAGUUGCAAUGAAGGCAAACGAAUGGAAAAACGUAAACGACCAUUUAAAUUCUUGCCCACUAUGUUGUGCACGAACACAAGAGUACCAUGAAAUAAAAAUAAAGUAUGUCAUUACACCAAUGACUUAAAAAUCCCUUAAUUUAUUUUCGCACACUAUGUUUUGCCAAAACUACUCUAGAGGCACAUCAGGAACAUGGGAAACAAAUAGAUAAAUCCCAUGAUCUCCCUAGUACAACAACAUUAGCACCUUCUGUCCUAACAGCAAGAGGUUUUCCUUCUUCAUGAACUCGUUCCAUUUGUUGACGCAUACAUGACCAUCAAUAUCAGAAAUGGUGUAUGUACUUGACACAACACUGUGUGGAUGAUAAACAAUGGUUAUGGCACCAUAUUCCUCCAUUUCUUCAGGGACAACACGAUUAGGCAGUUUCUGUUUGAAAACAAUAUUUGUUACAUCAGCACGUGGCAACUUAAUGUUAUGUAGUAAAGGAAGAACAAUUAAUUUGGAACAAAGCUAAAAACAUAUUGAAAUGACACAAAGUGAAUGAAGUACCAAAAGAUGGUUACCGAGAAGUUCUUGUUGCAAUUUGACCAUGUCAACGUAUGGAGGAAUGCAUAUGCUCUCCCUGAUCAUAGUUUCCAGCAUCAUGACACUCCACUAACUUUUAAGGUCCAUCACUUGGCGUAUGACAUACUCCAUUAUUCUCCAGUUUAAGCUUGUCCCCUCAGUUACAACGACAUUGUCAAUAAUAUCUCUUUUCUCAUUGGACAAUUGGUAGUAUGCUACAAUAUUAUAGCACAGACAAUUUAAUUUAUUAUAUAUGGUAUAUGAUAAAGUUAGAGUAAUAAAACUUGCAGGAGCAAAAAAGUAUCUUACUCAGAUGUAUGAUAGGCAAAUUCCUAGUUGUCAAUACGCUACUUGGUACUUCUGAAUUGUCAGUACUGAACAUAAUCUCCUGACCCACAUGUAGCGUGUAAACUCUAACAAAUUCCUUCCAAGACUUCCCUGAAAUGUAUGUCAACUCAUUGUCAUUGGUAAUCACACAUGGGAAUUCAAACCCCUCAUUGGUACUGAAACUUGCUUCAAAGUUCCCAUAUUUUCCCAAGGACACGCCAAAUUUCUGUGUGAAACUGUAUCUGUCGUAGCAGGGAUUACCUGAGUAGCAUAUCUACGAUUGUUAAUAUAUAUGAACUGCCUGUUAAUCUAAAGAAUUUGUCUAAUCAUAGAUGACUAGCAUAGUAUAGUUCACUACUUCUUAGCAGUAUUAUCAUAUAACCCCAUAGAAGAUUUAAAUUAACAUGCACGUACACAAAACCAUUUUAUCAUCUAAGAAAUCAAGAUGCAAUAUAACUCUUUUUGCAGUAAACAUUACGAACAACUGAGAGAGUACAAAGGGUCCGAGUACAAUAUUCGUUCAAUAUUACUGCCUCCGUCCAAAAAUUUGUGGACAAAAUUUUGUACAUACGGAUGUAUCUAUGUAGAAAACAUGACGAGAUACAUGUGUAUCUACAUGGAUCUAACACAUUAAUUUUGGAUCGGAUGGAGUACUAAAUUUCUCAUGAUAUUUGCUACGGGUCAUGUCAGACUGGAUCUUACUGUCUUGUUUGCAAAUCCCUCGCGCACGGUGACGGUACAAAACUCCCUCAUACAAUGCUCACCGGGGCACAAACCCUUGGUGUCCAAACAAAUGCCACACUCCAAAUCGAGAUCAAUCUCAUUACUAGUAUGUACAGUCUUAAAGAUUAGUGCUAGCAGUUGAAUUUAGAUCUGACAGAUUCUAUAGUGCAAAUACGUACCGCGCUGAUCUCCUUAACCAUUUUCACAAAGGUUCUCAACGGCGGCAGCGCGUGUACCGCAUCGACUCCAUGGAUGGAAUCCAGUUUGAACCAAUGUUCGCACUUGGUAUGGUGUCAAUUAGGUCCACCCUUAGGCAAAGAAGCUUGAAGGCAUCAUGUGCUACCACUUUCGAUGGUUGUCUAGGGGGGUAGACCGUCUGGGAGGAAAUGAAAAAAUCAUGAAAAUCAUGUGUAACCUUGAACACACUGUGCAUGCAUGCUUGAUUUGGUUCAUGGGAUGGCAUCAAAAUAACUCAGAAUCCUAUGUACAUGGUGUAUUGAAGGAGAUGGCCCGAGACGGGCCCUUCCGGGCUAUCCUUGUACCCUCCGAAAGCACGUGUUGGUUUAUUGACCUAUAUUAAAUGACCGUCAAGUUUGUAGGGUUACAAUCCAUGGCCAUGUUAGGGAUACAUAUGCCAAGUUUGAAGCAUUUUCAUCUAAGUUUGCAAGUUUUUUCUUGUGUAAAUCUUAGUCUAAACUGAGAAGCAUCACUACAAGAAAUAUGCUAUCUUGUAACCUCCACUAUUGGUCACUGAAAGGUCAUAGUUUUUCAUUUGUGACCUUUUUGCGACAAAAAAUAGAAGGUCAAAAGCUGAGGGUCGUAAACUGACUAUAGUGACCUUCUCACAACGACCUUCUCUAUGAGAAGGUCGUGGACGUUUAUGACCAAAAUAUUCCUACUGUGGCGUUUUGGUCACUAGCAGCCUCCCCAGUCCACGUAGGCAUCCAGCGUGGCAAGCUGAUGUGGCACCAGAUUCAGCCCGGUCCAAUUCGGUUUUCUACAUGGACCUAGCCCAUUAAUUCAGCCCAUUUAGUAUAUUUAUUUUUGUUAAUUUUGUUCAGCUACAUGGGCCAAGCCCAACUAGUCAGCCCAUAAAUUUUUAUGCACGUUUGGCCUUUCAAGAAUAUAUAUACAAUUUUGUGCAGCCCAUUUCUGGUUUACAUUCAGCCUUUUUAUACAUUCAAAUAAUAAUUCAAUCCUGAUGUUGGUCCAAUACUCUUUUCAGCCCAUUCACAUAUUCGUACAAAUGAUCCUCCUUUUCGACAAAAUUUGCAAAUAAUUUCAUAUUUCAGCACUAAAUAUGUUUACAUCACAGGCCAUAAAGCCGUACAAACUAGUAUCACUUGUUCCUAUACAAAACUAUCAAAUGAUACAUACAACAAAACAGAAUACAGAAAAUUUAGUUCAACAAAAAUAAGUUUUCUUCCUCUUCCAUCUUCCAGGACACAAAACACCUGUGAAAGUAAAGAUGCCACAACAAAAAUGGAAGGAUCAGCCAUUAGAAGCAUAUUGAGUACAAGGGAAACACGCACUGUGAAAUUUUUGACAGCACGAAUAUUUUUUAUAUUAUAAUAACAAACAGAAAUGUAAUCUGAUUGCAUAAGACAUAUGGCAUUAUCAACAAGACAAAGCAAAAUUUAUAGUGCCAACUCGGGAAUAAGAUAAAGCAAAAUUUAUAAAUCUAUAGCAUCGCACACGAGGUCUAAAUUUAUAAUAUGUUCCUUUAGAAGCAAGAGUUGGUUCGUGUCUAGCUUUUAUUGCAGAUAACUAGUAAAUUUCCACAAAAAAUAGGAGCGACAUAUGUUUUAAUCUCGUGUUUGCAGUAUAUAUUCACAACAUGUAAGAAUACUUUGAUUAACAAACUAACCAACCAUCAACUAACACUUCACAGUACCAACUAACACUUCAUAGUACCAACUAACACUUCACAGUACCAAAAAAAUGGGGUGGCGCUCACCAAUUCAGAUGUGCAGCAGCCAUGAGGGCUUCUUCGUGUUCCACCUACAGCAACGGCAACUUCUACAAAUCUGAGACACAAAACAAACGCAUGCAGAAGGAAUCAGAGGGAGGGGAGAUGAAGAACAUGGCAGGCAUUUAUAUGAUGGCAGUACAUAUGGAACAAACAGCAGUCCAUACUUGCAUCAUCAUGUGUAUAACAAAAUCACGGUCGCCUCUACAGAUAGCACUACUAGAGUAGAGAGCCAAGCAUAAUAAUUCUACCAGGAGACAAUGUAAACACAGAGUCACACCAUUGACAGAUUAAGCCUUACAACAUGUUUGGUGGCUCAGUGGGUGAUGUAUGCAUGCACAAAAAGGGGGGCAAUUUUUCAAUCAAACUGAAGAAAAACACACAUCAUUUAGUAACCAGUACAAAUCCCGGUAGCUGUAGGUGCAUGCAUUGUGUAACAAUGAGUAAUCAAUAGCAUUUCAGAGUUGUGCAGUUACUAGUGUGUCGUCCUCUGUUUACCACACCACACAUGGGCAUGAGAAAAUUGCUAAAAACCACUGAUCGUGUGCUAAUCUACUUGGAAAAUUAUAUGUUUGAAAAAGAGCAGCUUGCAUCCUUUUUAUUAACCUACAAAGCAUAUGCGGUCACAGAAAGCAGUACUAAAAUAGAAAACACAAAGCAGUAGAAUAAACUAUGCACAUGUACUCGGCAGCCCACUCACAUUACCAGCUCCCUUAUAGAAAUAGCAAUCAUUUUAAAAGCAUCAUGACAGAUGUUAGCAACUGAACAUCUAAGGCUAAUCCAGCAGCAAAUGAACAUAGUGAAGAAUUUAUUUGCAAAGAACACAAAAGGCGGAAGAAAAAUUACAUGUUGAAGCAGCCGUGUUACUUGACGUCCUGCAACAGAUAACACUUGACGAUUAGAACCACUAUAAUUCAAACAGAGAAACAAAAAUGCCAAACUUAAGCAUAACGAAUGCACUGACCCUAUUGCGGCCACAUUUUAACCACUAGUGUUGUGAUAUAGACAAGAUAGUCAGCCGCUUACAUGGUAAAAGGAACAUGGCAGCACUAAGUUACACAGGAAUGUCCAGUAGGAGAUAUGAUCUGAUAGAUCCACAGAAACAACUCAGACCAGAACAGCACUAAGUGUUCACUCACAAAUUGGUACUAGCAUAGAGAUUUUCGUAUGCCUAGAACCUGUGGCAAUACAUGUUGACGUAUAUGCAAGGGUAUAUAUAUACUCGUAUUUGAUAGGACUAACAACACAUGAAUCAAAGAUAAUCACAAUCAGCCGCGUAAUCUACCACAAACCCAUGGUAACAGACACCAUUACACAGCUACACCAACAGCCUACCGAAGCAAAACUCCAAAUCGGAUGAAAAAUUAACUAGGAUGGGAUCUGACACUGGCAUCAACUAACUAGGGAACAGCCUAAACAAACACCGUUGAGAAUGGUGCCGAAAUGGAUCAGAUGACGAAAUUGGCUUACCCGGCCUCCGGGUACUGCUGCUUGAACUCGAGGUGGUGGGAGGCGACGGGGCUGGCGUGGCGGUCGUAGAUGAUGAACCUGGUGCUGGUGGUGCCCUGGUCGAUCGACGCCACGUACACCUCCUCUGCCUUCCCCUUCCCCGCCAUACUCCUUCCCCUUCCCCUUCCUCCACACGCCCCAGAGCAUGCUCGCCGGAAAAACAAGUGCCGAACCCUCUGCCGGCGGGCAAACAGAGGGGGGCGGCCGGAGCAGCGGACUGAGCCGGUGGAACAAGCGAGGAGGCGGUCGGCGUUGAAGUGGGAGGCAGUGGGACGCAGAUCCUGGUCGUCCUCCUCCUCAUUGUCGAUGUCGUCCAUGGAGGUCACCUGCCAGUUCAAAUCCAACCCAAUAAAGGGGAUCAGACAAGGAAGUAGAGAGAGGAUCUGGGCUGGGGAAGGGGAAGUAGAGACAAGGAAGUCAGCGUCGCGCUCGGCGUACUUGUCGGCCUUGAGGUAGCGCGUGAUGCGGCCGACGGGGAACUGGAGCCCGGCCUUGGACGACCGCGACACCGACUUGGUCUCCUUCGCCUUGCCGCGGCCGAGGUAGCGCGCGAUGCGGCCGAGGGGGAACUGGAGCCCGACCUUGGACGACCGCGACACCGACUUGGUCGCCUUCGCCUUGCCGCGGCCGAUGACGCCUCCGGUGGAACUCAUCACCGAUUCGCCUUUGGGGGAGGUCCGGACGCGGUUGGUGACGACGAAGGAGAAGACGAUGAAGACGCGGCAGGAGCAGCGCCUCCAGCGCGAUGACCGGCCGCUCCAGGAACCGCUCGCAGUCGGUGGUGGCGGCCCGGUGGCUCAGCCAGAUGCCGCCGCCGAGGACGACGAGAGGGACGAGGGGGAUCUGGAUCGGGGGAGAGGAGGGAGGGAGAGAACGAAAGAAAGAAAGAAGGCGGGGGGUGGAUGGAAGAUGCCAGCUAGGGUUUCGCCUCAGGCGGGGACGCAAGGAGCGACGGCUACCGUAGGAUCCGGGAGGAUCUGAUGGUGUUUUGUGCAUGAUCCGUGUGCCUUGUCCACGGACCAAUCAGAACGCAAUACAAUAUUAUGUCCAAUUGAAUUGGUCGUGAUAAAUUUAAAAAUAAGAUGUUAGAUCAUCUUAGCUAUUUACUUGACCUGAUAAAUUGGAAAAAUAUGAAACAAAUGAAAAACCUUCUCAUCAUGUCAUCAAAUGUGACCUAGUUUUUAGAAGAAAAAAAUAACAAAAUAGUAAUAAGGAACUUUUCAUUUUCUUUGCACGAAAAUUCAUUUUUCAUUGUUCGAGUGCUCAAAAUGAGUUUUUUGUGAAGAACAUACCAAAUAUUUGUUGCAAAAUUGUAUCAAAUCAUUUUUCUAAAAUACUAUACCAUAUUUAAUGUACAAAUAACCAAAUGGUUGGCUGUCAAAACUUUUAAUCCACCUCUCGUGAAAAAGACAAAUUUCCGCCGAUUUAGUUGAAAGCUGGUCAAAUUUGAACUACAGCUGCUUCAUAGUUUGCUAUUUAUUUUUUCCAAAAAUAAUUUCUAGGUACAUAAGUACCUAUUUAAUCAGAGAAACACCAAUUUUUUUUCAAGAUUCAACCACUAGCUAGGAACGGUCAAGCCCGCCGUUUUGACCGCAUUUUGAAACGGGCAUAAAAAAUUCAAAAAAAAUCAAAAAAUUGGAAAACCUUCGCAUUGUGUCAUUAUAUGUGACCAAGUUUCCACAAAAAAUAAUAAACUUGUAAUAUGGAAAUUAUUUUAGAAAAGUGUUCUCAGAAAUGAGCUAUCAUGUGUGAAGAUUCAUGGAUUUCAACCCAAACGCUCAAUCUCAUGGCCACAUUCAUGGCAUAGUUUGUUCAAAUGAUCUCAUAUUGUGCACAAGGGUGCAUCUUGGAAUUCCAAGCAAUGUUGCCAAAGGGAGUUUUCAUUUUCUUUGCACGGAAAAUUCAUUUUCCAUUUUCCGAGUGCCCGAAAUGAGGUUUUUUGUGAAGGACCUACCAUAUAUUUGUUGCAAAAUUGUACCAAAUCAUUUUUAUAAAAUACUAGACCAUAUUUAAUGCACAAUUGACAAAAUAGUUGGGUGUCAAAAGUUUUGAUCCACCUCGGGUGAAAAAGACAAAUUCCCGUCGAUUCAGGUGGAAGCGGGUCAAAUUUGAACUGCAGCUGCCUCAUAGUUUGCUCUUUGUUUUUUCCAAAAAUCAUUUCUAGGUACAUAAGUACCUAUUUAAUCAGAGAAACACCAAAAAAUUUCCAAGAUUCAACCACUAGCUAGGAACGGUCAAGCCCGCCGUUUUGACCGCAUUUUGAAACGGGCAUAAAAAAUUCAAAAAAAACAAAAAAUUGGAAAACCUUCGCAUUGUGUCAUUAUAUGUGACCAAGUUUCCAGGAAAAAUAAUAAACUUGUAAUACGGUAACUAUUUAAAAAAAGUGUUCUCAGAAAUGAGCUAUCAUGCAUGAAGAUUCAUGGCUUUCAAGCCAAAUGAUCAAUCUUAUGGCCACAUUCAUGGCAUAGUUUGUUCAAAUGAUCUCAUAUUGUGCACAAGGGUGCAUCUUAGAAUUCCAAACAAUGUUGCCUAAGGAAGUUUUCAUUUUCUUUGCACGGAAAAUUCAUUUUUCAUUUUCCGAGUGCCCAAAAGGAGGUUUUUUGUGAAGGAACUACCAAAUAAUUGUUGCACAAUUGGACCAAAUCAUUUUUAUAAAAUACUAGGCCAUAUAUAAUGCACAAUUGACAAAAUGGUUGGGUGAAAAAAGUUUUGAUCUACCUCUGGUGAAAAAGACAAAUUGUUGUCGAUUUAGUUGGAAACGGGUCAAAUUUGAACUGUAGCUGCCUCAUAGUUUGCUCUUUAUUUUUUUCCAAAAAUCAUUUAUAGGUACAUAAGUAUCUAUUUAAUCAUAGAAACACCAAAAAAAUUCCAAGAUUCAACCACUAGCUAGGAACGGUCAAGCCCGCCGUUUUGACCGCAUUUUGAAACAGGCAUAAAAAAUUCAAAGAAAAUCAAAAAUUGGAAAACCUUCGCAUUGUGUCAUUAUAUGUGACCAAGUUUCCAGGAAAAAUAAUAAACUUGUAAUACGGUAAUUAUUUUAAAAAAGUGUUCUCAGAAAUGAGCUAUCAUGCGUGAAGAUUCAUGGCUUUCAAGCCAAAUGAUCAAUCUUAUGGCCACAUUCAUGGCAUAGUUUGUUCAAAUGAUCUCAUAUUGUGCACGAGGGUGCAUCUUGGAAUUCCAAACAAUGUUGCCUAAGGAAGUUUUCAUUUUCUUUGCACGGAAAAUUAAUUUCUCAUUUUCCGAGUGCCCAAAAGGAGGUUUUUUUAUGAAGGAACUACCAAAUAAUUGUUUCCAAAUUGGACCUAAUCAAUUUUAUAAAAUACUAGGCCAUAUAUAAUGCACAAUUGACAAAAUGGUUGGGUGUCAGAAGUUUUGAUCCACCUCUGGUGAAAAAGACAAAUUCCCGCUGAUUCAGCUGGAAGCGGGUCAAAUUUGAACUGCAGGUGCCUCAUAGUUUGCUAUUUAUUUUUUCCAAAAAUCAUUUCUAGGUAAAUAAGUAUCUAUUUAAUCAGAAAUACAUGGUUUGAUGGCGAUACAUCGAGGUUUGGAGGUGGCCGAGGGCCCCAACUCUAGAGCGCAUAAGCUCGGAUGCCCGCCGCGUGGUCACCGCGUGACCGUGGUGUUACCAUGCGUUCUGGGAGGCCUAGGCAUGUCUAGUGGGUUGUUCACUCCCCAGGUAGAUGCUAGGAAGAAAAUUAUAACAUAAGAUUCUCAUGAGGAGACCAAUCGAUGCUCAAACAUGAAUAAGCAGCCAAGUGUUUGAUUUGCGGUACGGGAAAUGCACAUUGCUAAUGGGCAUGAGUUUUUGCUGAGGAUGAUCAGUUAGUAAGAAGACCGUCUUCACAAAUUUUUAGGGAAAUCAAGAAUAUGUAAAUAACACUUCCUUCACAAAGUGCUGCUCUGAACAGAAUAGGAAAAUGAAUAUUGUUGAGUUAUUUUUGAACUAGGCAGGGAAGGUUUUUGACAUAUUUGAUGAAGAUAUGAUACAAACAAUUUAUGAGAUUUUUUUGGGAAUUUUUGGAAUGACAGAAAUAUAGGUUGCUUCACAACCUAGGGCAAAAACUGCCACAUGGACAUGACACAUAGGCAAAACUGAUGAGGUGGCGCCUAGUCAUCACAACCAACCACAAUCUACAAGGCUAUGACCAUCUAUUUUGGUCGUUAACAACUAGAAAUAAGGCAGUGGACCAGCCCUGUUUGCUUUGUGACCAUUUGGUGUAAGGAAAUUACGACCUUUCUGACCAAAAUGGUCGCAAUGGUUUAGGGUUUGGAGCCCCCCGAACAGCUUUUGACCAAUUGGUCUCAAAUGGUCAUAGAUCUAUGACCAAUUCUUCCAGGGUCACUGAUAGAAGGUUACUAGUUGACAUAUUUCUUGUAGUGCAUUUCGCAUGGUAGCUUGUUUUGGUCAUGGGAUUCCAUGGGAAACAGUAGGCAUAAUUUUGUAUUGUAGAUGAUCUACUAAACAUGGGGGUGCCCCCAAACACGUCCUUGCGGCCUUGACUUGCACCCUCCGAAAUCACAUGUUGGUUUGUUGACCUACCUGAAAUCAACCCAACUUUGCAGGGUUGCAAGCCAUGGUAAUUAUUGGGGUACGUACAAAUUUCAACUAUUUUCAGCAAAGUUGCAAGUUUUGUCACGUACGGACAAUUUUCGGGCAUUUUCAGAACAAACAACAUAUUUUAUACCACUUAAAAAAUGCAUUCCUUUCUCGACGACACAUUUGCUUUUUCUUCGGAACUUUACAUUUGUUUUGGCCAAUUACACAUGCUAAUGUUUCAACCUCCCAUAACUCACGCCACCCAGAUCUCCCGAAAUCCCACGAUUACAGCUCCUCCCUCGUAACCACCCGCGGCAUCCAGGUCCCGUACCACCUCCCACGACUGCUGCAAGAUCAGAUUGUAGCCGCCGCCCACCAGGAACUCGCCUGAGGGGUUGGACGACAGUGGUGUUGUCGCCGUCUCCUACGCGCGUCAACGCGCUGCUCCUGUUGCUGCCGUCGAGCACCACACAUCAACAUCUAGUGUGGGACGCACUAUCCGUGUGGAGCAUUGGGCCGCCACCGUCGACGACAGAAGGUUACGUGAUCAUAGCUCUUUUUGUAAUCUUUCUCGAACACGCACGUCUACUAGUAAAGCCCUAAUAGGUUUCCCACAAGUUAUUCCAGUCGUCAAGAUUACCUAAUCACAGCUCUCAUUAAUAACUAUCAACACGAUCAAUCUUGGCACACUACACAAAUGUCCGAAGAGGUAAUACCACAACAAGGGUAUCUCUUUCAUGAAAUAACAUGUCGUAUGUUUAUGCAAUCCCAAAACCCUAGUUGAACUAUCCCAAUGUUAUGCAUGACCAAAAUCUGUAGUGUGCUUAAAGUUACAUGUAGUUCAUAUUAUUUAAUAAACUCAUCCGUGCCUGCGUAUAAGAUUCUAUUUUUGUUACACAUUUCUCAAUGUGAAGGUCAAAUAAAUUGAACCGGUUUUGCUUCUGUUCCAUAGGUGCAGUAAAAUGGAAACUACUGUUAAAAGUGCUACUAAUGGAGAAAAAUACGUCUCCGAAAUGACCGAUGAGGUACAUUGUUGACAUUUCGUUUGAAAACUGUACUUGCAUACACUUCUUUCAUACUCGAUAAAAUCUAUUGCCACUUUUGCAGGUAAUCUUGAGGAAGCACGGCCAUACAAAGUUAGUGUGCUCACCGUCAAGGCUCGCCAAAGUCAUGAAAUUGUUGUCACUAGAACACAUAGAGAAAAUCAUAAGCGAUACCGGUCUUGGGUGUCUAAACAUGAUUCGUGAGUUUAAAAUCCGGCGCAUUAUGUUGGUAAGACUAACAAAGAGCUUCAAUAGUGAGACAUCGUUCAUUACCAUAUGUAAAACACCCAGUCCUAUCACCGCAAAAGACGUGCACCAUAUAUUUGGCCUUGCGAUAGAAGGGGAGGAUAUUGAUGAAAAGCUGCAAAGCACGCCGGAUCCAAAUUUGUUUUAACACAUUUCAAAACAAUGGGAGCAUUGAUCUGGCUGACCUUGAGACAGCGAUCUUAAGUUCCAAAACUCCGGACAAUGACUUCCUGGCGCGGUUCGUUCAAUUUGCUAUUGGCACAGUUUUAGCACCAACGGCACAAUGUUAUGUCGACGCAAAAUACCUUAAACUUGUUGCGGAUAUUAAAAGCCUUCGAAAAUUGAACUGGGGAUGUUUCACAAUGAAACACUUGUUCAGGUACAUACACAAAUUUAGCUCUCUAGAUCAAGUGUCUCUACAGGGAAAUCUACCUCUACUUCAGGUUAGUGCAACAUCACUAGUUAACAUUGUACAAUUCUUUUUCUUUUCUAUAUCUCUCUCUAUAUUGACGAAGUAAUUUAUUGUGAAGAUUUGGUACUGGGAGCACCUGCGUUCCGGCAAAUUGAUGUAUACUCCUAUACCCCCACCAUUGGUCGCACGAUGGGACGAAUGCACGUGUGUAAUAAGAGCAGAAGCUUACACCUCAGGAGGUCUUCAUAAAGGACUGGUGUGUUUCUAGAUUUGACCCAUGUAUAUAUCCGGUUAUUUAUUUGCUACUACUGAUUCAUUGUACCUGAUUCAAAGGUUGUGAUGGAAAUUUGUGCUCGACAACCAGAGGCCAACAAUAGAAAGGAUCCAGGAAGAAAAAAAAUUGUACGUGAGGAUGAAGGUGAUUCAUCUCGAGCACAAUCACAAGGUCAAAAUAUGAGUAGCCACCAAGUAAGCCCAACAAAGACAAUUUUCAUUUUCCAAGAUCAGUAAAAGGUUGCAUCGAAACUCAUUCAUUUUGCUUUGUUCUGAAUAGGGUGUUAUUUCGUUUGCACAGGUGCAAAUGAUAGUUGCAGCCCUGAAUGCAUGUUGUGUUGAGCAAGAAAAGAAGAUAGACAGAUAGUUAAUGGAAAUUCAGCGUAGAUUUGAUGCGAAAUUCCUCACCCUGAGCGAAGAGUUAAUCUACAUUAAGAGUAAAUCUGGCAGUAAUCCUAGGCUCUUGCUGCUCGAGGACAAAAUUAAGAACUUAAGGAGGGACCCGAAGGUAUGUCAUGUUGUGCAUUUUUUAUUGUUAUGAAUAUGUUCCUCCAUAUUCAUUAUUGUUAUAGUUGUUGUAGGAAUUAAAAAACCAAACUAAAGUCAGCCGACAAUCCGAGUCACAGAAAGCAGGUGUCGAGGUAAUAAUUAUGGCCCACCACAUAAGUAGUAUUACCAAACUAAUUAUAAUUGACCAUUUUUGUUGUUGUAGGAACAAGUCAAUGUGUGCAGUGAUCCCUUCAUGGCGACUCCUAAGUUCGACGCAUCCACACCACGUACUUCGACUCCAACACCAAGUGCUAGACACGUCCUGCCAAACAAGGACGAUCCUCGAAUCACACCGUUGAAGCCUCUAUUUGAUAAUGAUUACGUGCUCACCGCUGAGGACAAAGAGGCAGCCAUUUUCAUCCGGGGAACACACGGCCCUGUUGAAGUCAUUCAAAUCGGAGACAUUCCCCUAAGAGCGGAAUAGCUGAAGCCAAUUUACGAUAAAAAAUACAUUUGUGGUGAUGUAAGCCCCUUGUACUCCAUUGUACAUCAACUAUUUGAACUGUUGGCACAUCAUUAUAUGAUUACAAAUUUGGCAGGUUACUAUGGCGUAUGCUCACAUCAGCGGAGUUGAGACUGAUACUACCUCAGUCAUAUCCCCCAAUGAAACCAGAAAGCUUUACAAACAAAAGGGGUUAUUCCAGAGGGCCGUGGAAGCUCAUUGCUUCAGCGUAUUGCAAAUAAAUUUGUAGGACGCCGGAAGGUACCUGUUUUCCUCACUUUCAUAUAUCAUAAUAGAUAGUGUAGAUGAAAUAUUUCAGGGGUCCCCCGAACCAUAAUUGUUACCUCAUAUACAUUAUUUCGUGGAAUGAGUCCUCUUUGACUUUAUGGCAGGUCCACAUCCCGUUUAAUGUGAAUGAUAACCAUUGGAUGGCAAUGGUGUUCAAUUUCGACAAAGAAGAGAUUCAAAUCCUAAACUCCUUGAAAAAUCAAUUUGCUGAGUCAAAGGAAACUGCUCUUGUAAGCUUUAUCUUGCUGCCUCUUUACUGUCGCAUGGCACAUGAACUCCAAAUCACCGUAACCCUUCGUAAUACUCGUAUUAUGCUAGGUGGCGGCGAUUCAGGCCUGCAUGGACGGAGCGGUGAAGGAUGGCUUGGUAACACCAGAUAAGCCCAUCAAAUUUACCGACUGGGAAGUAGUACACUAUGACGACAUACCGCAAUAGAAUGACGGGUACGUACGACCUCCUAAAUUAUUCCUCGUUGACACGUCAAGUUUACUAAAACCUAAACUAAACACUACAUGCAUUCAUGUGCGUUUUUUACACUGAAGUACAUGUUGACAUGGAACAGUGAAGUAUUUACCGACAAAGUGGAGCAGGUGAUCCAAACACUAUAUUUUCUUGUAGAAUAUCUUAUGACUGAACGAUGUGCUGACAUAUGUGUCGCUUAUCAAAUGUAGUCAGAGAUAGAUAUAUUUAGCUAGAAAAUAGUUUCAAGCUUGCUGCAUUCAGAUUGCAACAGUCUUCGCAUGGAAACAUACAAGUACCCCAUAACGGUUAGCGAAAAGCACAGAUAUUUUAUUGUAUUCACAUGUGUCAUGACGCUACCGAAUGCACUGAUGUCUGCUGUACAGGCAGAGACGUAUGAAGCCCACAUUGCAUCGGAACCUAUCAAUUCACAAGACGAUGUCCAAGAAAUUAUCGGUACUAUUGAGUGCAAGAUAUCAGACACGUCGAGCUCCCCAAAGGAUCCCGACACCCCGAGCUCCCCAAAAAAGCGAAGAGCACGUGGACGCCCGAGGAAGCUUGUUGAUGAAGUGCAAGCUAAAAAAACAAAAAACUAUGGAAGAGCUCAGAGUGAAAUUUGAUAGCAAGACCAUUGUUAAACAAGUGUCUUCUUCGAUAUCAAGACGAUCAUGCAAGCCAUCACAUGCUAUAUCGAGCCCAUUCAAGUUAACCAAAUGGUAGUUUAGGUACGUACUGGGUAGCACUGUAGUUAGCACUACUUAUGAUACAUUUUUUCAUUUACGAUUUGGUGAUUGAACUUUAUCAAACGUGCAUCAACGAGCGGUGAAAGAUGGCUUGCUAACAACAGCUAAGACCGUAAAAAGUAGGGUAUGAUAACAUACCUCAAUAUAGCAAUCUAUGUUGUCGAAGUACAUACUUUUGGCAAUCACGAACAUUAUAUAAUUUCAGCAAUUAGGGAUACAUGCUCAGUUCUUUUGGUUGAACUGCCAAUAGGUCAGUCUGCCAAUCAUUUGCAUGAUGUACUUUUGGCAAUAUAUUAUACAACCUAAGUGCAUGUCAAAAAUGGCAAUAGGUACUUUUGGCAAUCAUGUGCAUGCUACAUAUCUGGCAAUUACUAAUGCGUGCUCAUUUGUUUUGCUUGAAAUGGCAGUAUGUACUCCUGGCGAACAUUUGUGUGCUCUACUUUUGGCAGCUAUUAAUACAGGAUCAUUUAGAAUGAUUUAACUAUCCAUAGAAAUAACUAGAAUGUCAUUAUUUCUAAACAUACCAAAUUCAGUACAAGAUAUAGCAUUAGCAUCUUUAGUUAGAGUCAUAACAUAUAUGUACCAUAUAUCACCAUAGUGGAGGUAUUAGGCAAGGUUGACCGCAAUGCUUACAAGAUAAACAGUAGUUUAAUGAAGAAACAACACUUAUUAGUACAGGGUAGACGCUUAAUUAGGCGCCUAUCAUGUACAAAUUGGCACUGCUGCUUCCGAAAACCAUGUUUAAUAUAGUUAGCAUGUACCUAAGCACGUAGCAUUGGAAGUUGGCCAUUACCAGAAAUGAGCAAUGUACUACCAAACACUUAAACAUAGCAUGUUAAACACUCGCGACCCAAAAGAUAAACCGGCACAUAAGUUCAAGCAGUACGGUGGGGCAGAAGUAUCACACGACAACCAUAACAUAAAAACAGUCUUAACUAGGGCGGGCCAGUAGUAACAACCAAGUAGCGCAUCAGAUCCUCGACAUCUUGGCCGGACAAGGAGGCCUCGGGGGGUAGAAUGGAAGAUGCCCCUUCGCGUACUUCCCGAGGAAGGCACCAAAAGCGGAAUGCUCAGCCCGGCAGUGGGGCUUGCGGUUCCUCCCAUUACCAUGGCUGAUAUCGGUGCCAUGCAUGAUCAGGUUGUCGUAGUCGCUCUUGAUUCUCGCGCAGCAGAAGGGGCAGGCUAUGUUGCCGUAGAGCCCGUCGGAGCCGCUGCGGUAUGGGAUUUCCCCAUUCCGCAGCCUCCUGAGGACGUAGCGGCUCUUGCUUUCCCUCCUCUCCUUACUAUCAUCCACGUCUUCGUCAUCUUCAUGUGUGUUAGUUGAUUGACAGCUAUGUUAGAUUAGGAAUAUAGAAAUGUAGCAUUUCAUAAGAGUAUCAAGUACAUUCCAAAAGUAGGAACACAAAAAUAUGAUCAAUUAGAUGAUUCACACAACAUGUACCUCAUGUAUUGCUAUAUAUGUUUAUGUAUUAUUUGUUAUCUUUCUUGUUGUUUUUUCUUUGCUUUGCAUGCGUACCUGUUCUCCCCUGUAAAGAAGUACUCCUAUUUGUACAGUCUAAAUUGACAAUUAACUAAAGGGUUCGGGUUUUAGGGUAUGAACAAAUCAUUUUACUGCAUUCAAGCACAUAUUUUAUUUCAUACUGAAAAUAUAUAAUUCCAAAAACAGGAUCAUUUCUUGCCAUUUCUUGCAACAAUAUUUUGUAUGAUCUGGUUUUAUCAUAAAGAGAUACCAGACAAUAUCUAAUUUAAUUAUAUUCAAACUAGAUGAGUACAUACUACAAAGUAAAACUACCGCAUCAACAAAGAAAUGAUUGCCCUCACUUGAUAUUUUGAAGACAACAAAUCAUAUGAAUCAUGUCAUGAAUUAUGUAUAAAAAGAGAAAUUUUUGACUGAGGUACAUCGGUUGGGAACAUAAGAAAUUAUGGCUUUAAUUACUCCUUGUUGCUAAUAAUUACAUAGGGUGCAUACAUAAGAAACUCCACAACGAAUUACUUACUGCAAUCAGAAAAUGUCUUCACAAUAUAGCUGUAAGGCUUCAUGAUUUUCAUCAAAUAAACUAGUUUUUCUGACAACUAAAUAAAUGUACUGUUUACUAGGUCUCAACAGAUUUGGCAAUCAGAUUGAAAAUAAGAUGCAUAGUCCACUUCAUUAUAUGGAAAUCAUGAAGCAGAUCGAAAAGGUUUGCACUGUUAAGGCAUGAAAGAUUCUAUAAGAAAGGAGAAAAUGUGGUAUCAGCUUUGUGCAUAUGGAGCAUUAUGAUUACACUUAGUAAUGAAAAAUUCUAUAUAAUAAGAAUGCAAUGGAAAUCUUGUUGCUAGAAAUGUACUAUUGCAUGGACUUGGCAUGCAUGAUUACUGAUGUGGCAUAGUUUCAUGGAUUGAUUUGUGCAAGAGAAGAACUGAUCCAUGUUUGUUGUUAAUGGCAGGCAAUGGCCGUAAAUUGUUACUACAUGCAUCACUACUGACCAGAUGCAUAACUCGAUGAUGUGGCCCAGUUUCAUGCAUACCAAAACCAGAUAAUGGGUUGCCACUAUUGAAGAAAGGAGCAUAGUUUCAUGAAUAGCAAAACCAGAUAAUGGGUUGCACAAUUGAGGAACAGAGCAUAGUUGUAACAGGGGUUCUCUAAUUUAAAAUCUCAUCAUUGAUAGUAUUGUUGGUUACUAGCGAGGCACACGUGCAUUGGGCGUGAAAGCAACAUUUAAUGUCAACUAUUUUAGAUGCACUUUACAUUGCUAUGUUACUGUAGCAAUGGAUUUUUGUGUGUGUUUUCUUUAAUAAAGAGAUAAUGUUUGUGCAUAAUAUGCAUUCGGAUUCACAAAGGUCAAAGCAUUAGCAAUUCAUUUAGAAGAAAAGAGUUUGCGCUGUUAAAGUAUCCAAGAUUCUAUAACAAUGGAGAAACAUAGUGCUAUGAGGUUGUUUGUGCAUAGGUCGCAUUGUGCUUAAGCUUACAAAUGGAAUAUUCUAGAUGGUACGCAUGCUUGGAAUUUUUCUUUUGUAGUAAAUAAGAUAUCGAAUGGCCAACAAUGCUGGGAUUUACCAUCUGUCCACCGUUGGAUUGGCUUCAUCCAACAGCAAAUAUUCAAAGUUGUUUCCAAAGUACAUGUUUUAAAAGUUACCAUUUAUAGAAGCUCAAGCACCAUCGAUAAAUAUUUACUGUUGCAUGUCAACUUUUCAAGUUCUAGAUAUUAAUCAUUGAUCCUCUUGUUGAAUGUCAUGAAAUAAACAAAUUUGUAGGAAAUUUUCCAUCCACUCAAACAUGUGUGAAAGAAUCCUACGUUUUUAGUAUGCACAAUCAAACACUCAUACAAUCCUGUAGGAUUCAAGAUGACAUGCCACUCUAAUCCCACGUUUUCCCUAUUCCUGUGUUUUGGAAAUCGUACGAAUCAAAGAGGUGAUACCUAACAAAUACACCGUUUUCUACAGCAGAACUGGUUCAUAAUCAGUUUCUAAAUCAUAUUCUUACUCAUCUUCACAAAAUAAUUGCACGCACAGGGGGAUUUUAGGCCUACAUGACUACUGUUCCAUGCCAGGUUUCAGAUUGAAGGGGUUUCCUUCCAAAUGUAUGAAACAACUAGUACUAAUCCUAACCCUAAGGGAGAGAUCAAGAAACAUAACCUAUCUGGACAAAAUCUAAUCCGUGCUGCAUGCAAUUUAGGAGAAAACCCCAUGGGAGAAAACCCCCAAAACAGAGUAGGAGAAUAGAGCAGAACAGAGUAGUACCUCCGAGAGCUCGUCGUCGACCUCCUCGUCAAACUCGACUGCCUCGUCCUGCACUUCCUUAGUGUCGAGCUCGGCCCCCUCGUAGUACUUGUCGAUGAGCUCGUACUGCUCAUGCUUCCGCUUGGCCCUUUGCUCCUCCAAAUCCACUGCCACCUCCUCCUCCACCUGCUCCCCGACCGCAGGCUCGGACGCUGUGACGGCGGCCGGAGCAGUCACAACAGAUGGUGCACCGCCUCCCAUCGCCACGACGGCGCCGUCGGCCACACCAAUCGCGGCGGCAAUGACCACAACAGGCUUCUCCACUGCUUCUACCACUGCAUCCUUCUCCACCGCUGUGUCUUCAUGGCCAGCCUUCAUCUUCCGACGACGAAGGGCAAGGGAGAUGGUUGCUGGCUCAUAGGAGGUAGGGUUCAAAGUGAGAGGAGAGGGUUUUUGCUGAUUUGGGGAAGAAAAGCAGCAGGGGUGGGGGAGUGGGGGAGACGGGGGUGGGGGAGGCGGCCUUUAUUUGGCGUGUGGGUGGACGUUUCGAGUUACCGAGGCUAGACGCGUGGCAUCAUGCGCUCGUGCACGCCCCAACCACUUUAAUUUUUUUGUCAUGAAUUUGUAUAUUUUUUGACCUGUGAUUUAGCGAGGAAUUACACAACCACCUACUUUUGGUGUUACUUUUUCAUAGAACACCUACUUUACAGGUUUGUUGCAAAAAAACACAUAUUGGGGUAAUUUGUUGCAGCAAGGUCUAAUUCGCCAUUUUGGGUGGGUUGACAUGAUUUCUAACAAGUGAGUCCAGUUAGUAAGUGCACCACGGGAAAAAAACAUUCCACAUCAGCACCCAACUAGAGCUGUGCAAAAUUUACAAAUAGGUACUCCAGAAAUAAUUCUCAUUGUUUCUGGGCCCACAGAAAUGAACUAUUGACAUUUUUUUUGUUCCCACAUAACAUGUUAGCACGCAAGAGCAUGCACCAAACUUGUUCUCCUUCGACACACAGACGCUAUAACGACGGACAUGUACCAGUAAUUUUCACACUGCACGUGUCGAUACCAUCUUGACCAACACGCAACAACAUUGGUCUCAUUGGACUCACACAUGCCAAAAGGGGUCCAAAUCAUUCACCAAUUCUUCUAGUCACAUUCCACUCCAAGAUGCGAUAAUGGACCGACAUGUAUCAAUCUUGAUCUAUUUGCACAAAUAAUUGGUAUAAGGGCCAGAUGCACCAAUAGAGGUCACAAUGCACUGACACAUGUCACUUGGGCCAACACGCACCAUGCCCACAUACAAGGGACAAAUAAGCCUAUAGGAUCCACAUGCACCGAUAAACUACGUCUCGACAUGCAACAACUUUUUGUAGUCACAUUGCACGCACAGUGCAUACCAAGACACGCCAAUGGCCCGUCAUCUAGCAAUCUUCAUGUGUUUUCACUAAUCAUGGUCUCUUUGGCCUCACGGAUGCCAUAAGGGCCAAAUGCACCAAUAUUGACACGUUGCACUCAAACGUGCCACUUGGGCCAACAUGGAUCAUGGUUUGUUUACUAGCAAGGAUCACAUAAGCCAUUAUAUAGUGUUGGUACCCUAGCUAAUAACAACAUAUAUCAACAUUGGUCCUAGUUGCAGCUACAUAGGACCACUUAUGCCACACAUGGAGCGCAGCCUCGGUGCAUGGUUUUUUUUCUGUGCGUCUGUGUCUGGAUAAAUGUCUUAAGGAGAGGCAAAUUUGUUCUGCCGAACACACUGUAUCAACCGAACUGGCUAGACCCUUUACUUCACACCUGCAUGGCCCUGGUUCGAAUCCCCGUGAGGCAGUUGGAAAUGCCAAUUUUUUUAUGGGUACUGACACGUGGGGUUCCCUUGUCAUCCACACAAAUGCACCAGCACAUGCACCACAUUUGGCUAAGUGCACCUACUACUCCACAUCAUUUUCAACUUUCUUAUUCCCCUUCUCGACAAGCGUCGCCGCCGCCAUCUCCAGACGACGCCUCUCUUCGCCGUCGGAUCUGCGUGGCCGCUGCCAACUCCGGCAAGUAGGUAAGAUCUCCCCUCAUCCCCCUCGUGAAUCUUCUUCCCUUCCCCAACCGCGUGCGUCUCCCUCCGGACGCGGAUCUGAUCCAGAAAUUUUAAUUGGUACAUGCGGUAGAUGAUUUGUUGAUGGAUAUGAUGGUUCUUUCAUAGAUUGAUGGAUGUCGUAGUGUAGGAUCUGAGUUGUGCCAGGGAAAAGUGAGGCCCCAUGCAAAUCAAAAUGCGGCCCUAUGUGUGAAAAAAUAAAUCAAAAUAAUUCAUCUGUUCUUCACUAUAGUAUGUAGUACUGACAUUGGAUUGGAUUGGAUUGGGAUUUAUUAGGUAGAUGAUACUGGCAUUGCCAUUGUCAUUGGCAUUGCUUUUUAGGUAGAUGAUAGUAAACAGAUUUAAUAGGUAUUGCAUUUUAGGUUAUCACUAUGAUUUAUUAUAUGUAUGAUCUUUGUAUUGUACUAUGGUAGCGUACAAAUCAACUUAGAGUUGAACAUGUUCUGUGUACAAUGGAGGAAGCACCAUGUGGACGGUGCAAGUCACGGUGCCGGACCAGCCUUUGUACUGCCAUGCUAUUCGGCAUCUACUUCCAGCCUACUUUUGUUUUGCAGCAGUAACAAUUUAUAUGAACCUUCUGACGGUUCAUCUUUUUCUAUUUCCACUAAUGCAUUGUGUUUGUUAUUUGUUUUUUUCUUGCACAGAUCAUCCCAUGCAAUGUGAGAUUGACAUUCAAUGAGCUCAUCGGAGAUACCGUGACCUUCGACACUCUUGGGGGGCGUACACUAUGCAGGUUGAUAAGGGGCGAACGAUAACCCAGAUUGGAGGAGAUGAAUGGGAUCGUUUCAUCGCCCGCUUCCGUCUUAGUGGGGGUGAACGGAUCCUCUUCUCCUUAAGAGGAGAAAGGCCCAGGAUUUCUGUUAUCUAUCUGAAUUUGAUUGCCGAUAGUGAGGAUGAAGUUCAUGAGGAGGACGAUGGUGAGGAUUCAGAUGAUGAUGAGAACCCACUUGAUGAAGCCCUCUAUGCCCAAGGAGUGAGGCUGAGCAACGAGGAAACCAACAACCUCUGGGACAUGCUUCCGCUAUGUGAAGACUACGUCGGGAUGCCAUUCGUGACCAGCCUCACAAAGACGAAUGUUAAACAACAUCUCAUGGUAUGUUACUUAGUUUGGUAAUUACAUGAUAUGCAUGCUUAAUUAGUGUAGUAGUUGAUAUGAUAUGCAUGUUGUAGUACUGUGAUGAUAUGCCUAGUGUAGAAUUCAUUUAGUGCAGAAUUUUAUGGUAUGCAUGUGUUGUAGUAAUGCGAUAUAUGCUUAUGUAGUGUAGUAAUAUGUGAUGAUAUGCUUAGUGUAUGUAGUAUAUAAUCUAAUGAUAUGCUUAAUUACUGUAGUAAUUUGAUGAUUAGCGUGUAGUGUAGUGGUGUGAUGUGAUAUAUGUGUCUUGAAGUGUAUGGUUUGUUCAUAAUUGCACGUGACAUGGUCAUAUAUCAUAUCAACUAUUUUCAAAAAUUACCUAAGAGGUUAUCUGAUAGUUGUGGCAUCGAGCCGGAUGAAGAAGGCAUGGUUGCUGGACUACGCCUUACCAAAAUGGGCUCCAUCACCACCUGUGCCUAUGCAGUGGACACGGACGGUCGCACUAUCUUCAACCGGGCGGGGUGGAAGAAGUUCCUUCAUGGAAAGAAUCUUCCGAUAGGUCAGGGCAUCCUACUCACUGUUGCGAAUACCCGUCGCCGUGACUUGAGGAUGAUGAUCACCAUCAACCUCAUUUAGAACUGGCUGGGCCAUGUUUCGAUGUGAAAUGAACUUGGUAUGUUAGCUCUUGUUUUAGAGUACUUGCCGUGUAUUAUCGUACCUAUCUAUCUAUCUAUCUAUAUAUAGGUUCAGUAAAUGGGCCAUGUAUCGAUGUGAAAUGAACUUGUUAUGUUUGGGGCUUGCUUUGCUGUUGCCAUAGCGGUUAUUUGUGACUUCCUUGAACUUGAAUCUGUCUUGAAAUGUUAUUGGAUGCUUGGUGCUGUUGCUUUAUAGUAUAAAGCUGGGGGCGUUGGGGGACCUUUUUAGUAGGUUUGGUUAAUGGAGUUUAGCUCUUAUUGUACUUAUUGUUUUCUUUUCCAUACAAUUCUGAACCCAAACUACACAUGGCACAACCUUCUGUGAUUAGUUCCUUUGAUAACUAGUACUCCCUCUGUAAACUAACAUAAGAGCGUUUAGAUUACUAAAAUAGUGAUCUAAAUGCUCUUAUAUUAGUUUACGGAGGGAGUAUUGAAGAGCAGCCAUAGAGUUCCAUUCACAGUUUACUUGAAUAUUUUUUGAUGAAUAAACAAAAUAGGAAGCUAGCAAACUUAUUUAACGAGAUAAGCAAACUAUGUACUUGAUUACAUAAGCAAACUUGUUCAACCCUGACAAACUGGACAUAAACAAACAGGUUCAACUAUGACACACAUGACAUAUACAAGUUGGUUUAACCCAAGAAAAGCAAACUACAAAUUUCAAACAACAAGAUAAAGGAUAAGCACAAGCGCAAGCAACACGAAGGCAAAUUUUGAUGUCUCCUCAUCCCGCAUAGUGGCAGUUGUAGUAGGGAUCCUCUUCCUGCUCUUUUGAAAUUUCCAGACCUCUUUUGAUGUGUUGAUUAUCUUCCACGACUUGUAGGUGGCGUACGCAUCUAUUGCUGCAUACUCGAUGAAGUAAUCUGGCGGUGGGCUGACCCCCCACAGUUUAUGGUCUGCCUGCUUGUUGAUCUUGUUCUCAUCUUGCUGUAGAAUGGGUGGAUGACGCUGUCUGCAACAUCAACCAAGGAGUCAUAUGGUUUUCCGUUGUAUGGAACUCUCCACUUGCGCUGAAUGUCGAUGUGCUUGUUGGGGUUUAUCUCCAAACCAGACAUCUUCAACUUGUCCAUGUCAUUUUUAAUGCUGAAACCGGCAAAGGUGAACAACUUCUCCUCCUGUAGGAACUCUUUGAGGCGCUUUGGCCUACUAGGGGAGAGACAAGUGAUGAAUACAUGGAGUACUAGUGUUUAUUUUCAAGAUUUAAUCAUCUGUUUUUUACGGUUUACAAGUGAAUAAUACAUGGAGUAGAUGCUUAUACAGUAUAAGUCAUGGAUGAAUAUAGUUCAGAAACUAGUACACAAAGUUCUGAAAUUAAAAUCAAGUACACCAUGUUAUUUUUCUUUUUGGAAUAUAUAGUUGAGUCAAUGAUCUAUUUGCUUUCUUACUGCUAGUUUAGUUUUAUUUUGUUGAAUAAAAUAACAUAUACAUCUGCUUCACCAAGUUCUUAAGUGUUUUUGGUGGUGAAAAUAACACCAGACCAAGUUCAGAAACUACUUCACUACAUCAAGUUCAGAAACUAGAUUAAUGAAUCAAGAUGAGAAACUACACUGGUACAUCAUGCUCACAAAUUAAUCUUGUGCAACAAUUUCAGAUACUAUUCAAGUGCACCAGGUUCAAAAUAUAUUCUAGUGCAUCUACUUUGAGGAACUGCACUAGUGCAUCCAUUUUCACAAACUACACUAGUACAUCUAGUAUGAAACUAGUCUAAUAAAAUUUCGAGGGAGCAGUAUUGAUGAAUGGAAGAGGGUGAAUGAGUAGGAUUUUUCACCAUUUUGUGGCCGCAGCAAUGUGGUACACGAGGCAGAGACCCUCCACGCAGAACUGCAGAACUGCUGCCAUCUGUGGAGGUUCAUCAUCUUUGGUAAACUGCACAUCAACACCGAUGAUGUGGGGAUAUGAGCCGCAUGCGCUCCUCCUGAUCCAAAAGAUCAUCUCGUCGGCCUUGUCUGGUUCGCUGGUGCAGACGACCUCCGUCGUCUCCUUGCCGUGGAGCUCAACCCCUUUGAGGGUUACGGUGUACUCGCGCUUCUAACCGAGAACGUGAACGAUGUCGAGGUUGCCGCUCUGGUCGGACGUCUGGCCACAAUGACGCUUGGCAGACGCUUCCUCCGCCAUUGCCCUCCUCCUACGACUGCGGGCUUCGAAGAGAGAUGUUUGUGGGUUGUUUGUAGAAGAGAUGGAAGCGGCAAUGGAGGUUCUCGGAAUGAGGCAGUGAUGUAGUCGAUUUGGGGCUUUUUCACGCUUGGGAUGGGGACGUGGGGGAGGUGGUUUGUGUGUAGGACGUGGGGGUAGUGGUGGUGGGGCGCAGUUGCAAUCCGACGUGGCAACCGCGCUCUGUGCACUGCUGGGUGCGCGUGCAUCUGAGUUUAGUCCCACCACGGGCCUGCAUCCUGGCCCAUAUCACUGGGUUUGUUGUCGUAUGCGGGCCUUGGUGUGCGAAAUAUCAUGUUAGGUAGGUGGGCUUUUUUUUCUAUAAAAUCUUUUUUUGCCUAUGUGACAUGUUGACUUAUACUAAAAUAACACUUCCUUUUUUUAGGUACACAUGUCUUAUGUGAAAAGUUUAAGUUUGAUAACAAUUAAAAACAUUUAAAACCUUGCCACAUUGGCUUUCUUGGACAUGUGUAAAAAGUUUAAGUUUGAAAACAAUUGAAAAACAUGUAAAACCUUGCAUCAUCGAAUUUUAAUUUUAAAAUAAAUUUGAAAUAUUGCAGUUAAUUUGUAGACCAUCUCUAAAUCAAACCAAAUUUGUUUUACAUUGUCACAUACAUGUGACAAACAUUGUUAUUUACACAUCAUGUGUGCAAAAACUGAGGUGAUUUAGAUGUGGUCGAAAAAAGGUGAUUUUUUCACCACCUCCAUAUCACCUAAAAUUUAUUCUACAUGCUCAAAUAGAUGAGCCAAACAUGUCUAUGAAAGAAAUUUGAAAAAAAUGUAUCCUACAAUGCCCGCUUAAGGUGUAGACCGUUGUUUUGAUCAGUCAGUCUACAAGGCAGAUUAAAUUCAAAACAAAUUAAAAAAUUAUAAAACAUUGAAAACCUAGCUAUGUUUGUGCAACAUAUCAAGUGUGCAAAAUUAGAGAUGAUUUAGAGGAGGUCAAAAAAAAUCACGCUAAAACACGAGGGGCUAUUUGGUCUCACUUAAGCCAGUUUUUGUAUAAAAUGUGAUUUUUUCCACCACCUCCAAAUCACCACAAAUUUGUUCUACAUGCUUAAAUAGAUGUGCCUAGCAUGUCUAUGAGAUAAAUUUGGAAAAAAUGUAUUCUACGAUGCCCGCUUAAGGUGUAGACCAUUGUUUUGAUCAGUCAGUCAACAGGACAGAAUAAAUUCAAAAAAAAUUAAACAAUUAUAAAACCUUGAAAACCUAGCUGUGUUUUUGCAACAUAUCAAGUGUGCAAAAUUAUAGGUGAUUUAGAGAAGAUCAAAAAAUCAUGCUUAAACACGAGGGACCAUUUGGUCUCACUUAAGCCAAUUUUUGUAGAAAAUGUGAUUUUUUUACACCACCUCCAAAUCACCCCAAAUUUGUUCUAGAUGCUCAAAUAGAUGUGCCAAGCAUGUCUAUGAAAGAAAUUUGGAAAAAAUGUAUCCUACAAUGCCUGCUUAAGGUGUAGACCGAUGUUUUGAUCAGUCAGUCUACAUGGUAAAAUAAAUUAAAAACAAUUAUAAAAUUUUAAAACCUNNNNNNNNNNNNNNNNNNNNNNNNNNNNNNNNNNNNNNNNNNNNNNNNNNNNNNNNNNNNNNNNNNNNNNNNNNNNNNNNNNNNNNNNNNNNNNNNNNNNNNNNNNNNNNNNNNNNNNNNNNNNNNNNNNNNNNNNNNNNNNNNNNNNNNNNNNNNNNNNNNNNNNNNNNNNNNNNNNNNNNNNNNNNNNNNNNNNNNNNNNNNNNNNNNNNNNNNNNNNNNNNNNNNNNNNNNNNNNNNNNNNNNNNNNNNNNNNNNNNNNNNNNNNNNNNNNNNNNNNNNNNNNNNNNNNNNNNNNNNNNNNNNNNNNNNNNNNNNNNNNNNNNNNNNNNNNNNNNNNNNNNNNNNNNNNNNNNNNNNNNNNNNNNNNNNNNNNNNNNNNNNNNNNNNNNNNNNNNNNNNNNNNNNNNNNNNNNNNNNNNNNNNNNNNNNNNNNNNNNNNNNNNNNNNNNNNNNNNNNNNNNNNNNNNNNNNNNNNNNNNNNNNNNNNNNNNNNNNNNNNNNNNNNNNNCCAAGCAUGUCUAUGAAAGAAAUUUCAAAAAAAAUGUAUCCUACAAUGCCCGCUUAAGGUGUAGACCGUUGUUUUGAUCAGUCAGUCUACAAGGCAGAAUAAAUUCAAAAAAAUUAAAAAAUUAUAAAACCUUGAAAAUCUAGCUAUGUUUGUGUAACAUAUCAAGUGUGCAAAAUUGUAGGUGAUUUAGAGAAGGUCGAAAAAAUCACGCAUAAACACGAGGGACCAUGUUCUCUCACUUGAGCCAUUUUUUGUAGAAAAUGUGAUUUUUUUUCCACCACCUCCAAAUCACCCCAAAUUUGUUCUAGAUGCUCAAAUAUAUGUGCCAAGCAUGUCUAUGAAAGAAAUUUGAAAAAAACAUGUAUCCUACAAUGCCCGCUUAAGGUGUAGACCGAUGUUUCGAUCAGUUAGUCUAUAGGGCAGAAUAAAUUCAAAAAAUAAAAAAUUAUAAAACCUUGAAAACCUAGCUAUGUUUGUGCAACAUAUCAAGUGUGCAAAAUUAGAGGUGAUUUGGAGGAGGUCGAAACAAAUCACGGUUUAAUUUGUGUGUGUGGGGGGUAGACCUCCCGAGAGCCAUUUACUGGUCAUUUUCAUUCCGUAUAUGUGUAAACAUUCCAAAUUUUACCAAACAUGAAAAGCAAAUUAUGCGUGCAUGCUCUAUGUGGUCAAGGGAUGCGAUGCAGCAAAAUUGGGAUCAUUAGUGCAUGUAUACGCAAGUAGGGUCUCUGAAACGCACUUUUCGGGGAUAGCCUGUCACCACCCCGAGAGCACUAGCUCAGUUUCUCACCUGUAUGAAACCAACCAAAAAAAUCAGGAUGACAAGUCAUGGCCAUGUUAGGGCUACUUGCCAUGUUUCAACCAUCUUCAACAAAUUUUGAAAGUUUCGUCACAUGCGGGAUUUUUUUGGUCAUUAGUACAAUGUGGACCAUUUUCAACAUUUAUUGCAAGUUUUGUCACGUAUGGCAUUUUUCGGGCAUAUGCGACACGAAAAAUCCAUUUUUAAUACUUAAAAACAAGGACAGUAUUUUCUAUAUUUGUUGGGAUAUCAUUGUGAUAUUAUUGAAAUCUCGCAUAACUCACGCGGCCCACCCCUCCCUAAAUCCCGCGAUUACAGCGCCUCAUUCUAACCACCCGGCCGUGCCAUCCGCAGCUCCCACGACUGCUGCAAGAUCAUAUCAGAGACGCCGGGCUCACACGGAUUACAGGAGGCGCCGGCCAACGCCCACCGCCAUGAGGGGUCGGACUUCAGUGUUCUUCUCGCUGCUCCCUCCGUUUAUCCUUGCCACCGUCUACCGCGCUAUAGGGGCACUUCUAGUUUGCGACGCACUGUCCGCGGCCAUCAACUCGGCGCCGCCGUCUCCGAGAGAAGGUAUGUCCUGAUCGUAGCUUUUUUUAAUCGUUGUCGGCCGCUCCUUUAGUAGUUGAACCCUCAUAGGUUUUGCACAACUUCACGUGGUUAAGCAAUUGGAUACCCUUGUUAAACUGCGCUUAUUUUAUGCACGACCAACUAGGUUGUGUGCUUAAAGUCAUAAGUGGAUCAUAUGUUAAAUGACCCACUUAAUUUUUUUAAUAUUAGUUGACUGCUAAUUUUGUUAUACAUCUUUUAAUUAUUGUCUUCAGAUUAAUUGACCCGGUUUUCAUCAUUGCAUACAAGCCAGCAAUGUCAGUUUCAGAUAAAAGUCUUUGAACAGAGAAAAGCCUCGAAGAACUCAAACUAAAUUUUGACAGCAAGACCAUAGGCAAACAAAUGUUUUUGUUAUCAUCACGGUCACGCAGAGCCAUGAGAAGCUAUGUUGAGCCCAUUCAAACACAAAUAGGUAGCAUCAAUUGAUACAUGAUCUUGCUCAUGCUCUACUUUUAGCAUCAUUUGAUACAUGUUCAGUUCUUAUCAUAAAGUGUAUAUAUGUACCUUUGGCAAUCAUGAGCAUCCUCUACUUACUGCUAUAACUAAUGCAUCCUCAGUACAAAAAUUGAAUUGGCAAUACAAUUGUAUUGGCAACGAUUUGCAUGCUUUACUUUUGGCAAGAACUAAUGCAUAGUUGAGUUAUAACUGGUCAUAGAUAUGGCUGGAACAUCUAGAGUUAUCAUCACGGUCACGCGGAGACCCUAAACCAUCACUAGAUAUGCUGAGCCCAUUCAAACACAAAUAGAAGCAGCAAUUGAUACAUGUUAAUGCUCAUGCUCUACUUUUGGUAUAAUUUGAUACAUGUUCAGUUCUUACCAGAAAGUGGAAACAUGCACUUUUGGGAAAUAUGAGCGUCCUCUACUUAUUGCAAUAACUAAUGCAUCCUCAGUACAAAGCUUCAAUUGGAAAUAGGUAGAAUUGGCAAUCAUUUGCAUGCUUUACUUUUGACAAAAACUAAUGCAUAGUUCGGUUGUAACUGGUCAUAGAUAUGGCUGGAACAUCCUGAGUUAUAAACUGAACAUAAUCAUGCUAAGCUAUAACUACCAUAUUUAUAGUAGUAGAGUUCCUAGCAUGCAUCACCGUACGAUUCUAGAACGGUUGAAUUAACACAGCUAACAUAACAUAGACCAAUGUACGAUACUUGACUUGCUAUGGCCUUGUACAAUGCAAGGUGAUUAGGCGAGGUGUUUAGAGAGAUAAACCAGGCUUUUCUUAAGCACCGGUGCUUAUUUGUACAGGGUAGACGCAUAACUAGGCGUCUGUCCUGUACAAAUAGGCAAUGGUGCUUCAGAAAAACCUGGUUUCUUUUUCUAAGCACCACCCUUAGCAUCUACCAUUGUAUGAUGCCUAACAUGCAUCAGAAAAAUAGUACUAAUAACAACUUAGACAACUUAAGCAGGUUAGCAGCAAACACUUAGAUAAACGGCAGAUUAACCACCGCACACCAUAAGUUCACACCCACCAUAGACCAUAGGACAUAAGUUCUUACACACCAUAGACAAUAAGUUUUAGAGUCGACCAGCAAAUACCGAUAACAUAAAAGGACACGGCGGUCCUGGGGCAGCAGCAGCAGUCUAGCAGCACAUCACUUGUCUCCCAUGUUUAGCGGCGGCGCGGCGGGAUGUAGUAGGGCUCAUUGACUUUGACAAUCUUUAAAGCGCUCGUAGGCCGCAAGUUUGGCCAGAGUACUGGCCUUUUGCUUCCUACUGUAGGAGUUGCCAGUGGUGACGGCAUGUUGCAUCAAGCCAUCAAUGCCGCCCUUGAUCGCCUUGCCAUAGAAGGGGCAGCCAAGCUUGCCAUAGAAACGGUACUUGAAUUUUUUCAGCAAUCAGCUGCCUCAUGAUGUAGUGGCUCUUGAUGUGCCUGCUGUCCAUGUCAUACCCCACAUCAUCGUCAUCCUCCUGUGAAUUAGUACACAAAGAAGAACUCAGUUAAUCUAUUCUGCUACAUUGCUCUUAAUUAGAAUGUGUGAAAAGUACAUACGUGUAACAUGACAAAUAUCUAUUUGCUGGAAAUAAGGCGUAUAUGCACAUACAUAAUUGACCCAAAUAAUUUGACAUGCAUAAGUAUGGACGGUGGAAUAGUUGCAUUGAUAGAUUAGUGCACAAGAAGUACAUAAUUAACACAUGAAAGAGUUCAUGAUGUGGCUUGGUUUAAUGAUACUUGAUACUUGUUACAGGUGUAAUUCUGAUUGGAAUCAGAAAAAAAGGCUUCAUUAUACUCCUCCAUGUUACACACAAGGGGGUAUUCUUCUAUCUAUUGGAAUCAAGAAACCAUUAUUCUUUCUGAGAGCAGCAAUACUAAUUCUCCAACAUUGUUAGCCCCUGAUAAGUUUUAGAAGGAAAUUGAUAAAGGAGCUAUGGGCUACUAUCUUUAUCCCUUAACUUAUGACUCUGAUGAUACCGGUGUGGAAAAUACUUUGGAGGAACUUAACUUGGAAAAGGAAAUUUUGUCAUGCAAAACAAAGUGUUUUUUUGUCUAUUUAUUGGAAUCAGAAAUUGAAUUCUAGUUUUACAAAUAUAUGCUAAAAAAUAUUCAUUCCAGUGGUCUAAAAAAAGAUUCAUAAAUUGAAUUCUAGUUUAACAAAUACAAGUUGAGUAUUUAGGGCAUGUUGUCUAAAAAACAUUCAUUCCAGUGGUCAGAUGCUGAAAUUGAGGCCUUCACAACAUUGAAGAAUUGUCUGGUCACUGCUCUUGUUAUGGCUUUGCCUUAUUUGACCCUACCAUUUACUUUUUAAAUAGAUGCAUCAGGUGAAGGUAUUGGUUCUGUCCUCAUGCAACAAGGCAGACCAAUUGCUAGAAAAGGAAAUGUUGUCAUGCAAAAUAGGGGUUCUCAAAGAAAUAAUCAAGUGGUCAGAACAGGAUUCUUACCAAUUAAAUCUGAAUGUAGAUGCAUCAUAUGAUAGUUAAGAAGGAGAUGAGUCGACGGGUGGUGUUUUAAGGGAUCAGUAUGGCAACUUUGUGUCAAUCCAGUAAAUUACCAUUAUAUUCCAAAUGCAUCAUCUGCCUGCUUGAUGGAUUCGGUGGCAAUGAAAGAAGGCCUAUCUUUGGUAGCACCUGUAGGCUAUCAUCAAAUUAUUGUAGAAUGGGAUUGCUUACAAGUUGUUCAAGCUUUUACUCGAGGUAACACAUGGUGGAACGAAGGAUCGCGUAUUAUUGCUGAUAGUUUUGAUCUAGUUCUGGAGAUAGGAACUGCGCAUUUUCUCACUGUCCUCGGGAAGCCAAUGGUGUCGCACAUGAGAUCGCUAGAAAUAGCUAUGAGAAUCAUCUAUCUUGUAUUUGGGUUGAUUACGCCACUUCUUUCAUUCAUGUAUCCCUUGUGAACGAUGUAAGUUUGCUUAAUCAAUAAAGCAUGCCGUGAUGGAAUCAUAUAAUGAAUCUCUGUUUUAGCUAUACUAGUGGGUUUUUUCUUCUGUCUAUUCGAAUCAGAAAAUGAAUCAGAUUCUAAAACCGCCAUCCAACAAGAAAAUAUAUGCUAGAUCCCUAGCUACAAUCCUACAUGUACGCAAACAUUAUGGCUGGGCCAGUACAUGAGUAGAAAUACCUCAUCAAUACGUGAAGAAAAUGAUUCAGAUUCAAAAACCACCAUUCAAUAUGCAAGAAAAUCUAUGCUAGAUCCUUUCAACUAGCACACCCAUAUGAAAUUGAUGCUAUGAAAAAACAGGGUACUUACAGGGUACUUACAGGAAAUAUAAAUCUAAUAAAAUCAGAUUAGUACCUCAGAUAGCUCGUCGAUGACGUCCUCAUUGUAGUCGCUGCCCUUCCUGGGAUCCACGGCCAUCUCGAACUCUAUUUCCUCCUCGUCGUUCCCCUCGUAGAACUCCUCCUCGAUUUUGUCAUAGAGCUCGCGCUUCAGCCUCGCCUUCUGCUCAUCCAGAUCUUCAUCGACCUUCUCCUGCAUAGGCUCGCCGUCGGGUAGCUCGCCGGCUGGGAUGAUACCGAGAGGAGGCACAACAGUUGCUGCACCGCCUCCGUCGCCGCUACGGCGGACUCAACCGCUGCAACUGCGGCGGCAGCCAUGACAGCAGACUGCUCUCCACCGAUGGUUGCCUCCGGCUCGUCCAUCACAUCUUCACGGUCGUGCUUCAUCGGCGGUUGACGAGAGGACGAGGGACGUGUUGGAAGGGAGGAGAGGUGUGGAGUGGUGAGGAAGGGAAGAGGGUUUGGGAGAGGACGAGGUGGUAUGGCUGGAGUGGGAGAGGACGAGGAUUUUCUACCCGAUUUGUGGAAGAAAAUGAAUGCGGCUGCCUCUUGGAGUUACCGAGGGGUCGAGGGGGGUGAUUUGUCUCACCUACUAGGGCCUUCCACAGUGAGGACACGUGGGGUUUGCCCCGCGCCAUGCACCUCGCGUGCGGUUUGCCCCGCGCCGCCCUUCAAACUGCUGACACGUGGACACCAGCAGUGGUUACACAUGAUAGAUAUGGUAAAUGAAUUUCUUAAAUCUGAGGGCAUGUAAUUUGUAUCAAAAUGCAUCAUCAGCUUAGCGGUAACACCCUCACGAUCACAUACUAAUGCCCUUGGUUCGAAACUCCGUCGUGCAGUUUAGUUCCCUCUUUUUUGCCUAUGUGGUUUUUACAUGUGGAUCCCACAUGUCAUUCACAUACACGGAGAACACGUACAAACAAACUUGCCGGACAUGAUGUAAAUGGGCCCAAAAAAUUUCUACUUUGUAUCAUUCUUGUAUGGAUUUGUAUGGAUUUUCUAGUACGAUUAAGUGCUUAAAAUACUUCUCGGAGGUGAUGCGACAAGCGCACGUUGUCGAUCCACUGGGGUGGCCAUGCCCACAACAAGGAAAAAUUUGGUGUCAUUCUUAACAUGGCCAAAAAUUCACCUCCUUCACCGGCGGUUGUUCGGAUAGGAGGUAAGGGUCUGUGUGGAAGGACAGUUUUUUCUCGACAUGCUUCAAAUGGACCUAUAUUCUUUCUACACCCUUGUACCAACAUGAGAAGCAGCCAUGACUAGUUCCAUUGAUUUUCGAUAUUUUUAUUAUUUUUCUAGGGUUAUCACGAUGAUAAAACCCUAAAAUAUUUCCAACCAGCGCCACCCUUCCCUCUGAUCACUCUGACUAGCAUGUACUUAACUUAGCAUCAAGGCCAUGAAAACAGGAAUCAGAACCGUAUUAGAUUUUGAUCCCACACAUACAAAACAGAUAACACAAAUCACAGAUUGCAGGUACUACGAUUAUCUGAGUGAACUUCUAAUGCAUAACAACUUCUGGUAUUCAAAUACAUCACAUGAAAUACUGAGACAACUAGAAAUGCAAAACAGCUUCUGUGUUGAGAUUGAGCAAGGGAUUUUUAUUGUGAGGCGCAGCAUCUUCAGCAACCUAUCCAUGAUUCCACCUGUAGCAUAUAAGUAACUGAAAAUUUUAGAUUGAAUACAGUUGGUAUUGGAAAAAUGAUAGUACGGUAAUUUGAAGAUGCCAAGGAAAUCUGUCGCAACAACUGUAGGAGUAUACAAAUUUGAAUAUAAAGUUCAUAGAAGUCAAUGUUGAAUUAAUAAGACCUUUGCAAGAUGCAAAAUCACUGCUGUGAUGAGAGUAAACAGCAUGUAGGCCAUAGCACAUGCAAGAAGCACUUACAGGAAGUGAAGCAAAACGUUGUAGAGCACGGCAACAUGAGUAAGCCAACAUCCCUACUAAAAUUAUUUCACUGCUUAUGUCUAGCUUUUUUUCUUGAAUCAUUAGGAAGCCCUAAAUAUUUUGAUGCAAGAUCACCGACAGGGCACUAUUGAAAUAUUUCAAUGUCUACAUCUCUCUACUGAAAGUGCGUUACUGAAAUAUUUCAGUGGCUACGUGUGUGUGUACUGAAACAACACCACUGAAAUAUUUCAGUUGCUACAUGCGUGUACUGCAACAGCACCACUGAAAUAUUUUAGUUGGUACUUGUGUGUACUGAAAGUGAACCGCUGAAAUAUUUCAGUGGAUACGUGCGUGUACUGAAAGUGCACUAGAAAAAUAUUUCAGCGGCUACUUGCUUGUAUUGAAACAACACCCCAGAAAUAUUUCAGUGGCUACGCGCGUGUCCUCAAACUACUAAACUGAAAUAUUUCAGGGGUUGCGUGCGUGUACAGAAACUACAGUAUUGAAUUAUUUCAGGGGUUGCGUGCGUGUACUGAAACUGCAGGACUGAAAUUUUUCAGUGUCUACCCGUGUGUACUGAAAUUGCAUUGCACUACUGAAAUAUUUUAGUGUGUACCCGUGUGUACUGCAAUUGCACUACUCAAAUCUUUCAGUGUGAACCGGUCAGUAGUGAAAUAUUUCAAUGCCUACAACUAUCUACUGAACUUGCAGUAUUGAAAUAUUUCAGUGUCAACCCAAAGUCUAUCACUCUAAAACUGUGUACUGAACUUGUCUGGAGGCACUUCUUGCAGCCUCGAUGGUGCAAGUUCAAUUUACACAGAUUGCAUCACGUAAUUUGAACACAACUCUUGAGGUGACAGAAAAAAAUUCCUAUCAUGGAUACCACUCCAGCACAUCAAAACAUAGCAAUGAUGGAGAAUCGGAGUAUAGAUCUGAAGCCAAAAAAUGACUAAGUGAGGAAGAACAAGUUUCACAGUUUCACAUUAGAAUUUUAGAUCUACCGCACGACAGGAAAAGGAAAAUAUUUAGACCUAAAGGUUGGUGCUUGAGCAGUUCAUGAAGUUCCAGAUCGGGUUUUUAUACACAAAAGAGAUGAUCUGAUGGCAAAAGAAGGAUUAUCAUUACUACCGCAUAAGAGUAUAUCACGUUUGGAGUCUAUCCUAUAGGCCUUAAUGAAGAACAGGGGAAGAACACCAUGAAGCUUCGAGGAGCCCGUGCGAAACCUAAACAGAUCUAUGGAGGAAAGGAAGAAGAACUCACCAAAAAUUGUUGAACAGCGGAGAGGCGCCGCGAUUUUCUGGUAUGGGCAGGGUGAUGCAGUGGCCAAGGUCGGGGCAUGAUACGUCUCCAACGUAUCUAUAAUUUUUUAUCAUUCCAUGCUACUAUAUUAUCAACUUUGGAUGUUCUAUAUCCAUGAUUAUGCUAUUUUAUAUUAUUUUUGGGACUAACCUAUUAACCUAGAGCCCAGUGCCAGUUCCUAUUUUUCCAUGUUUUUAACCUUUUUCAGAUAGGAAUAUCAGACGGAGUCCAAACGGAAUAAAACCUUCACUAUGAUUUUUUAUGGAAAAUAUCAAAAAUACCAGAAAGAAAAGAUACCAGAGGGGAGUCCCGAGGAGAUCACAAGCUAGGUAGGCGUGCCUGGUGGGCUUGUGUGACGCCCCCGAUUCAAUCGUACACUAAUCAUGCACGCAAACGUGUACGAUCAAGAUCAGGGACUCACGGAAAGAUAUCACAACACAACUCUAAAAACAUAAAUAAGUCAUACAAGCAUCAUAAUACAAGCCAGGGGCCUCGAGGGCUCGAAUACAAGUGCUCGAUCAUAGACGAGUCAGCGGAAGCAACAAUAUCUGAGAACAGACAUAAGUUAAACAAGUUGCCAUAAGAUGGCUAGCACAAACUGGGAUACAGAUCGAAAGAGGCGCAGGCCUCCUGCCUGGGAUCCUCCUAACUACUCUUGGUCGUCGUCAACGGGCUGCACGUAGUAGUAGGCACCUCCGGUGUAGUAGUCGUCGUCGACGGUGGCGUCUGGCUCCAGGGCUCCAGCAUCUGGUUGCGACAACCAGGAAGGAAGGAAAGGGGAAAAAAGGGGGGAGAAAGCAACCGUGAGUACUCAUCCAAAGUACUCGCAAGCAAGGAGCUACACUACAUAUGCAUGGGUAUAUGUGUAAAGAGGCCAUAUCAGUGGACUGAACUGCAGAAUGCCAGAAUAAGAUGGGGAUAGCUAAUCCUGUCGAAGACUACGCUUCUGGCAGCCUCCGUCUUGCAGCAUGUAGAAGAGAGUAGAUUGAAGUCCUCCAAGUAGCAUCUCCAAGUAGCAUAUCCAGGUAGCAUCUCCAAGCGCAUCUCCAGUCGCAUCGCAUAGCAUAAUCCUACCCGGCGAUCCUCUCCUCGUCGCCCUGCGGAAAAGCGAUCACCGGUUUGUCUGUGGAACUUGGAAGGGUGUGUUUUAUUAAGUAUCCGGUUCUAGUUGUCAUAAGGUCAAGGUACAACUCCAAGUCGUCCUGUUACCGAAGAUCACGGCUAUUCGAAUAGAUUAACUUCCCUGCAGGGGUGCACCACAUAACCCAACACGCUCGAUCCCAUUUGGCCGGACACACUUUCCUGGGUCAUGCCCGGCCUCGGAAGAUCAACACGUCGCAGCCCCACCUAGGCAAAACAGAGAGGCCAGCACGCCGGUCUAAACCUAAGCGCACAGGGGUCUGGGCCCAUCGCCCAUAGCACACCUGCACGUUGCGAGGGCGGCCGAAAGCAGACCUAGCCUAGUGGCGUUCCAGUCCAAUUCGGCGCGCGCCGCUCCGUCGCUGACGUCUGAAGUGCUUCGGCUAAUACCACGACGUCGGGAUACCCAUAACUACUCCCACGUAGAUGGUUAGUGCGUAUAGGCUUGUAGCCGACUCAGAUCAAAUACCAAGAUCUCGUUAAGCGUGUUAAGUAUCCGCGAACGCCGAAUAGGGCUAGGCCCACCUCUCUCCUAGGUGGUCUCAACCUGCCCUGUCGCUCCGCCACAAAGUAACAGUCGGGGGCCGUCGGGAACCCAGGCCCACCUCUACCGGGAUGGAGCCACCUGUCCUUUCAGCCCCCUUAUCCGAAUCACUUGCGGGUACUCAACGAGCUGACCCGACUUUAGUCACCAUCUAUAUAGUAUGUAUGUAUGUAUAGUAUAUACCCGUGAUCACCUCCCGAGUGAUCACGGCCCAAUAGUAUAGCAAGGCAGACUGACAAGAAUGUAGGGCCAAUGAUGAUAAACUAGCAUCCUAUACUAAGCAUUUAGGAUUGCAGGUAAGGUAUCAACAGAUGUAGCAACAAUGUCAGGCUAUGCAUCAGAAUAGGAUCAAUGGAAAACAGUAACAGGCUACACUACUCUAAUGCAAGCAGUAUAGAAGAGAAUAGGCGAUAUCUGGUGAUCAAGGGGGGGGGCUUGCCUGAUUGCUCUGGCAAGGAGGGGUCGUCAACUCCGUAGUCGAACUGGGCAGGAGCAGCGUCGGUCUCGUAGUCUACCGGAGAGAAGAGGGGGAAGAAACAAUGAAUACAAUGCAAACAUAAACACGAUGAUGCGUGACGCGACAAUGAGCGGUGCUAGGUGUGCCCUAACGUGGUAUGAGGUGGUACCGGUUAAGGGGGGAAACAUCCGGGAAAGUAUUCCCCGUGUUUCGCGUUUUCGGGCACAGGAGCCGGAGGGGGAAAGUUGCGGGUUCGAUAGGUUAGGGGUGUGUGGCGGACGAACGGACUGCGUAUCCGGAUUCGUCUUGUCGUUCUGAGCAACUUUCAUGUUGAAAAUAUUUUAAUCCGAGUUACGGAUUAAAAGAUAUGAUUUUCUAAAGAUUUUAUUAAUUUCUGGAAUUUAAUUAAUUAUUUAAUUAAUUCGAAAAACAGAUUAAUGACAUCAGCAUGAUGUCAUGCUGACAUCAGCAGUCAACAGAGUUGACGUGGUCAACCUGACAUGUGGGUCCAGUGGGACCCACCUGUCAUUCUCUGUUUAGGUUAAUUACAGAUUAGUUAAUUUAAUUACUAUUUAAUUAACAUAACUAGUUAACUAAAUUAAUUAAACCGGAUUAAUUAACUUAAUUAAUUCAUUAGAUAAUUAAUUAAUUAAUAAUUAAUUUUAUUAAAUCAUUUUUAUUUUUAUUAAUUAUAUUUAUUUUAAUUAAUUUUAAUUUUUUUAUUAUUUUUUUUAAUCCCUCUUUUUUUGUUCUGGGGCGUGGGCCCCAUGUCUCUGUGGCCCAGAGGGGCUAGCGGGCAUGGGUGCGGGCGCUNNNNNNNNNNNNNNNNNNNNNNNNNNNNNNNNNNNNNNNNNNNNNNNNNNNNNNNNNNNNNNNNNNNNNNNNNNNNNNNNNNNNNNNNNNNNNNNNNNNNNNNNNNNNNNNNNNNNNNNNNNNNNNNNNNNNNNNNNNNNNNNNNNNNNNNNNNNNNNNNNNNNNNNNNNNNNNNNNNNNNNNNNNNNNNNNNNNNNNNNNNNNNNNNNNNNNNNNNNNNNNNNNNNNNNNNNNNNNNNNNNNNNNNNNNNNNNNNNNNNNNNNNNNNNNNNNNNNNNNNNNNNNNNNNNNNNNNNNNNNNNNNNNNNNNNNNNNNNNNNNNNNNNNNNNNNNNNNNNNNNNNNNNNNNNNNNNNNNNNNNNNNNNNNNNNNNNNNNNNNNNNNNNNNNNNNNNNNNNNNNNNNNNNNNNNNNNNNNNNNNNNNNNNNNNNNNNNNNNNNNNNNNNNNNNNNNNNNNNNNNNNNNNNNNNNNNNNNNNNNNNNNNNNNNNNNNNNNNNNNNNNNNNNNNNNNNNNNNNNNNNNNNNNNNNNNNNNNNNNNNNNNNNNNNNNNNNNNNNNNNNNNNNNNNNNNNNNNNNNNNNNNNNNNNNNNNNNNNNNNNNNNNNNNNNNNNNNNNNNNNNNNNNNNNNNNNNNNNNNNNNNNNNNNNNNNNNNNNNNNNNNNNNNNNNNNNNNNNNNNNNNNNNNNNNNNNNNNNNNNNNNNNNNNNNNNNNNNNNNNNNNNNNNNNNNNNNNNNNNNNNNNNNNNNNNNNNNNNNNNNNNNNNNNNNNNNNNNNNNNNNNNNNNNNNNNNNNNNNNNNNNNNNNNNNNNNNNNNNNNNNNNNNNNNNNNNNNNNNNNNNNNNNNNNNNNNNNNNNNNNNNNNNNNNNNNNNNNNNNNNNNNNNNNNNNNNNNNNNNNNNNNNNNNNNNNNNNNNNNNNNNNNNNNNNNNNNNNNNNNNNNNNNNNNNNNNNNNNNNNNNNNNNNNNNNNNNNNNNNNNNNNNNNNNNNNNNNNNNNNNNNNNNNNNNNNNNNNNNNNNNNNNNNNNNNUUUUAUUUUAGUUUUAUAACUAUAAAAGUAGUCCCUAAUUUAGUGUUAGUAUUUAGCUACUACCACAUAAGUUUGGGCAACAAAAUAAAUUAGUUUAAUAUUUUAUCUAUUGUAAAAGGCAUUCAACUAAUUGUCUUUGCUACUGUUUAAAACAUUUUAGAUUAUUUUACACUUUUAUAAAAGUGUGAUUUCUCCACCAUAUCUCCCCAUGCAUUAUUUGGCUCACUCCGAACAUUAUUUGGCUCACUCGGGAGGUGAUCACAAGUUGGUAUCAGAGCCGACUGCCUGUAGGAAUCCCCCUUUCACACUUCUUGGCCGAAGUCGAGUCUAGACAUUGCAAAACUUUUACUAACUUGGCUGUGUGCCUUACGGGCCCACGUCGCCAUUGGGUGGUACUAGGAUCUUUUACUCCUCGACCUUUACUCUGGGACUCUGAUCUCUCUUCUAUUCGGGUUAAAGGAAUUUUGCUAAAUCUAACAUUAGGAUCUCGUUAUCACUUUCACCCGAAGAGCCCCUUAUUACUGAUGAUCGUCUGCUGCACGUGAAGACCCUGAAGAUACUUUCCGCUGUUAACCCGAGAACUUGUGUUCAUCGCGUUUGCAAUUCCCCUUCCACCGUCAACCCUUAUAGAUAACUACUUGCAGUUGAUAUUCUUACAUUAAUCCCCGGUUGCUCUUGUUAUUACAAGACACCCCGAAACACCCGUCGUUGUUUCGAUAAUCGUUUGAGCUUACUGCCUUGCUAUUCCUUGUCACCUGAAUACCCCUACGGAUAAUUCUCGCACUUAUCGAGUAUCCGCUCAUCCCCCAGUUGUUCAUGUGUUUCACAAUGGUCUCCGAAAUACUAUUCGAUCCUCCAAAAAUCCUUAGUAGCUUAUUGCUCUGCAAUACUGAUCUAGUUGCAUGAUGGAUGCUUUCCAUAUAUCUGGCAAUAUUUGUUAGUAUCCUUAGGCACCGUCAUUUUGAUCCUUUUGAUUCAACAUGAGUGCGAAUGCACGCAAUCAUCAGUUGAUCCUUUUAAAUUAUCUUUUUGGCUCAGACGUCUUUCAAACAUGAGUUGGUUCUCGACCAAUCCAAUUGUCGUUGGUUGUACCCUAAGGCUAUUCAACUUAUCCAUCCCUAAUCAGAGCAUUGCUUUUGAUCCUUUGAUUUGGAAAUCAUAAUUCCUUUGCCUUUGACAAUUGAGUUAGUCAGUUGUUUCUAUAAUCUGAUCUCCUUGCAUUCUUCUUCCUCUAGUUGAGUACUGAUACUCGUAUCAGAUCCCUUGUGGACCAUCAAGUCCUUUGUUGGAUUUAUCUGACAACGCCCUUCAUAUUCAAUAACCUUGUGAGCCUUUCCUCGGAUACAUAAUGCCUUUGGUAAAUUGUAUCCUCUGCUUUUCUCAACCAUGCUCUGCCAUCGAGUUUGUGUUAUUUACUCUUGAAACUUGUGGUAUAUGUUUCUAAGAAGCCCCUAUGGGUUGAACAUAUGCCUUCUCUAAACCGUGUGAACCCGAAAGUUUUCACGAGUCAUACCCUUCUGGUGCUUCACCAGACAAAAUUUCAACACUACAACUUCAUCGAACGUGAGAAGUGAAUGAAAGGUUAUGCAUAGGAGAAGUGGGAGUCGACCUUGAACUUGUGUUCAUGCCCAUGGACGCGAUAUAUAUCCUAUCAUGAAAGCUUCUUGUAACAAUAACUAUUUCCUUGAUAACUAACCUAUGGUAUCUGUGAAUUGAUCCCUUGCAACCGUGGUUCCGACCAUGAUUGUUCUUCUUUGAUCUCAUUUCUCGGACAAGUUAAAACAAUUGUCUUCUAUGGAUCAAUACACCAGUCCAACCUUUACUUUGAUCUUGUGUCAAGUAUUACCCCCCUGGUAUCUCGAGAUUAUCGUGGAACUGCAUAACUUUUUAUGAGUUCUUCAUCAAGUGCUACCUUCCCACCGAUUUCAAUUUUUCGCGGGCUCUGAGUUAUUGAACACUCAAAGACACCGAUAACUGAACUAAGUCCGCUCUUCGGUUCAACAACUCUUCAGUAAACUUCUAUAAGUACGAGUUUGUACCCGAUCACGCCAUUCCUAGCCUGUUUGGCUAUAUCAUUGCCGUGACGAUUCUACCUGUGCUACCUGGUCCUUAUUCUCGGAGCACCAAUUUGCGACGAUAGCUAAGCUUACGUCGAUUUUCCUCGUCAUACCCUUUCACCUUAAACAACCAGCUUGGUUUCGAGUUUGUGUCGUACCCUUGGUUCCAAUAACCUUUCACUUCAUCAUUACUUUGACUUGAUGUCGUCGCCGAUCGAUUACAUCUUCAUGAACUCUCGCGACAAAGGUGUCGUGAUCGUCAACAUUCUGAGCUCAUCCAGGAUAUCAAUUGGAUUCAUGAUAAGAAAUACCAUCCUUGCCUCGAUGAAUUGUAUUAUCAUCGACCACUUUAUUGCCUUCCCACCAACACAAGCUUGUUCAUGUUUGGUGUUAUACCUUGAGUUCCUUGCUGUCCAGCAAAUGAUCUUCCUUACCUCGGAAGUAUUACCAUCUCUUUUUGUCAAGAAUGUGGUGAGAAUUUCACCACCUCUUAAUAAUUCUUGAUAUCAUAAUACUUCUUGCCAUCUUCGUUCACUCCUUGGUCCCCGUAUUGUUUUCAACCGUAAUACCGACAAUGGAGCUAUGACGUGUGAAUUCAAAACUUCUAGCAACCCUAUUGCUUUGAAGUGAAUGGGCGAUAGUUCAUUCUAAGUCCUUCGCUAAUUGAAUCACCAUUCUGACAUUGGUCGUGCAACCCAACCCAUAUUUCGGGCGCACAUUUCAACCAAUGUUUAAUUAUGUAUGUUUUCCUCGAGCAUACUUCCUUAUAUCAUUUGAUCUGGCAAAUGUUAUCUCCUUGUUCACUUAAUGGUGGAAAUCCAUCUUUUGGGGAAUCUCGGCGAAUUGCCGUUGAGUUCACCAGACACCUCCUUGUCCACUCCUUGGGUUAAUGAUGAACUCUUGUUAAUGGAAGUCACUUCAUAGUUCAUUUCCCGAGAAUCUUACAGUGUCAUCCCAUCAAUUGGUGUUGCACCUUUCUUCCCAGGCAUCCUGAGCCUGAGGUAUCCUGACACCAAUCAUACCUGAAUCUCCGUCAGAUAUGAUGGUUAGGACAACUUUCCAAGAGUUAUGAUAUUGAUCCUUUGAUGACCCGGUAACAUGAUGUCAUGCCUAGCACCCCCCCCCCCCNNNNNNNNNNNNNNNNNNNNNNNNNNNNNNNNNNNNNNNNNNNNNNNNNNNNNNNNNNNNNNNNNNNNNNNNNNNNNNNNNNNNNNNNNGAAAUUGUAAGACUUAUUCUACAAGUUAUUCUUGAUGGAUCCUUCGUGUUUCCAAAGUCUGAUCUUCACCUGAAGACCAUGUCACUGCUAUCUCGAAGCAUGUCAAUGGUACUCCGAUUUUCAACAGGCACGUUUGAAGCACGAUGCUAUAUUUUAAUUAUCAAUUAUCCUAACACCGUUGUAUGGGUAAUUUCAUGAGAUUCCUCCCCCCUUACCUAAAAGGUUUUCUACUUUAUAUCCUGUCUUGGAUAUCAUCCUCUGCUUGACUUUGGGGAGGAUAUACCCUUGAAAUAUGUGUUUAAACAUAUUUUCCUUUCCAUUGUUCUGUUUAAUCUGAUGAUCAUAUUUUCCUUCCAUUGGUUUGUUUAGACCUUUUCUAUGAUCUAUAUGAUAUAAGCAGUAAUAAUCCACUGCUUGUGCAAACACCUCGAUGUACAACUCUGUCAGUAAGACCCUGUUUUUAUUGUUGAUGACAUUCCGGUAACCACCGAUGGAUGAGAACUUUGCCUAUUGGUCCGCCUCGUUCAACGAGCGGGAAAAAUGGUUCUCUUCGUCCCUCACCCUUGGUACAAUGGUUGUUGCCGACAUAAUCGAUAGUCCAUCCUCUGACAGGCCUUGCUUACAUGAUCAUGCAAGACGUCAUCCCCUUCCUACUUUUACCCACAUGGUGGGCCCAUAACCCACAGUUCCACAGGAUCGAAACCUGACUCUCCUGUACACCUUGUUGACAAAGUUAUCCCUUACUCUUGGUUUCGUGUGUAAUUCAUGAGCCACCUUCCUAAUGCUCUAUUCUGGUAUCACACGCCAUACUUACUCUCGCUACUCUGAACCCCUUUCUCACUCUGGUUCAGACUUCGAGCAACUAUUUAUCCGCUUGGAACCUCUUAUUGUACCUUCGUACCUUACUCUCGAGGUAUUUUAUAUGUUCAACUCGAGAGAUAAUCUUAUGCUCAUUCAUGGGUUAACCCCCAGGUUGUAUCCCUCACAAGCAUUCUGUCGUAGUCAAGCUGCCCCUUACCUAUUUGUAAGUACGUUGGAGAUCCUGAAGCAAAGGAAGCAAAGGACGACAUCACCAUGAUGACCUGAAGCAGAGAAAUGAAGAUGUCAAUGUAAUGGAUCGACCUCUUCAAGAAGAGCAACCAAGACUGAGAAGAUUCGUUAGGAUUUCGUAACCAGACCUUCCCCCUUAUACCCCCUCUUAAAUCUCGGGACGAGAUUUCUUGUAGUGGAGGAGAAUUGUGACGCCCGGGUAAUUAAGCUACAGUGAUCCUCUGCUAGUGAUGCCACGUCACCUCGAUUAUAGUUGCUAAUCUCGCGUUAGUUCGAAAACGAUUCGCGUUCAAAUUCAAAAUCAAGCAAACAAUAAAAGAUUUCAAAUAUUGAAACUAAAAUGUUCGGAGUGAGCCAAAUAAUGCAUGGGUAAGUAUGGUGGAGAAAUCACACUUUUAUAAAAGUGUAAAAUAAUCUAAAAUGUUUUAAACAGUAGCAAAGACAAUUAGUUGAAUGCCUUUUACAAUAGAUAAAAUAUUAAACUAAUUUAUUUUGUUGGCCAAACUUAUGUGGUAGUAGCUAAAUACUAACACUAAAUUAGGGACUACUUUUAUAGUNNNNNNNNNNNNNNNNNNNNNNNNNNNNNNNNNNNNNNNNNNNNNNNNNNNNNNNNNNNNNNNNNNNNNNNNNNNNNNNNNNNNNNNNNNNNNNNNNNNNNNNNNNNNNNNNNNNNNNNNNNNNNNNNNNNNNNNNNNNNNNNNNNNNNNNNNNNNNNNNNNNNNNNNNNNNNNNNNNNNNNNNNNNNNNNNNNNNNNNNNNNNNNNNNNNNNNNNNNNNNNNNNNNNNNNNNNNNNNNNNNNNNNNNNNNNNNNNNNNNNNNNNNNNNNNNNNNNNNNNNNNNNNNNNNNNNNNNNNNNNNNNNNNNNNNNNNNNNNNNNNNNNNNNNNNNNNNNNNNNNNNNNNNNNNNNNNNNNNNNNNNNNNNNNNNNNNNNNNNNNNNNNNNNNNNNNNNNNNNNNNNNNNNNNNNNNNNNNNNNNNNNNNNNNNNNNNNNNNNNNNNNNNNNNNNNNNNNNNNNNNNNNNNNNNNNNNNNNNNNNNNNNNNNNNNNNNNNNNNNNNNNNNNNNNNNNNNNNNNNNNNNNNNNNNNNNNNNNNNNNNNNNNNNNNNNNNNNNNNNNNNNNNNNNNNNNNNNNNNNNNNNNNNNNNNNNNNNNNNNNNNNNNNNNNNNNNNNNNNNNNNNNNNNNNNNNNNNNNNNNNNNNNNNNNNNNNNNNNNNNNNNNNNNNNNNNNNNNNNNNNNNNNNNNCCAGAUGCUGGAGCCCUGGAGCCAGACGCCACCGUCGACGACGACUACUACACUGGAGGUGCCUACUACUACGUGCAGCCCGUUGACGACGACCAAGAGUAGUUAGGAGGAUCCCAGGCAGGAGGCCUGCGCCUCUUUCGAUCUGUAUCCCAGUUUGUGCUAGCCAUCUUAUGGCAACUUGUUUAACUUAUGUCUGUUCUUAGAUAUUGUUGCUUCCGCUGACUCGUCUAUGAUCGAGCACUUGUAUUCGAGCCCUCGAGGCCCCUGGCUUGUAUUAUGAUGCUUGUAUGACUUAUUUAUGUUUUUAGAGUUGUGUUGUGAUAUCUUUCCGUGAGUCCCUGAUCUUGAUCGUACACGUUUGCGUGCAUGAUUAGUGUACGAUUGAAUCGGGGGCGUCACAGCUUGUGACCCCCUCGUGGGUCCCUCCAACUUGUUCUCGACGCCAUCUGGUCUUAUAAAUACAGAAACCUCCAGAAAAAAACCUAGAUCGGGAGUUCCGCCGCCGCAAGCCUCUGUAGCCACCAAAAACCAAUCAGGAGCCCUUUCUGGCACCCUGCCGGAGGGGGAACCCAUCUCCGGUGUCCAUCUUCAUCAUCCCUACAAUUUCCAUGACGAGGAGGGGAGUAGUUCUCCCUCGGGGCUGAGGGUAUGUACCAGUAGCUAUGUGUUUGAUCUCUCUCUCUCAUGUUCUUGAGAUGUAAUGAUCUUGAUGUAUCGCGGGCUUUGCUACUAUAGUUGGAUCUUAUGAUGUUCAUCCCCCUCUCCCUUCUUGUAAUGAAUUGAGUUUUCCCUUUGAAGUUAUCUUAUCGGAUUGAGUCUUUAAGAACACUUGAUGUAUGUCUUGCACGUGUCUAUCUGUGGUGACAAUGGGAUAUUCAUGUGAGUACUUGAUGUAUGUUUUGGUGAUCAACUUGCGGGUUUCGUGACAUUGGGAACCUAUGCAUAGGGGUUGGCGCAUGUUUGACUCUCCGGUAGAAACUUUGGGACACUCUUUGAAGUUCUAUGUGUUGGUUGAAUAGAUGAUUCUGAGAUUGUGUGAUGCAUAUCGUAUAAUCAUGCCCACGGAUACUUGAGGUGACAAUGGAGUAUCUAGGUGACAUUAUGGUCUUGGUUGAUAUGUGUCUUAGGGUGUUAUUCUAGUACGAACUCUAUGAUAGAUUGAACGGAAAGAAUAGCUUCGUGUUAUUUUACUACGGACUCUUAAAUAGAUCGAUCAGAAAGAAUAACUUUGUGGUGGUUUCGUACCCGACAAUAAUCUCUUCGUUUGUUCUCCGCUAUUAGUGGCUUUGGAGUGACUCUUUAUUGCACCUUGAGGGCUAGUUAUAUGAUCCAAUUAUGUUAUCAUUGUUGAGAGAACUUCCACUAGUGAAAGUAUGAACCCUAGGCCUUGUUUACACACAUUGCAAUACCGUUCGUGCUCACUUUCAUUGUUAUUUACCUUGCUGUUUUUAUUAUUUCAGAUUACAAAAACCUAUAUCUACUAUCCAUAUUGCACUUGUAUCACCAUAUCUUCGCCGGACUAGUGCACCUAUACAACUUACAAUUGUAUUGGGUGUGUUGGGUACACAAGAGACUCUUUGUUAUUUGGUUGCAAGGUUGCUUGAGAGAGACCAUCUUCAUCCUACGCCUCCCACGGAUUGAUAAACCUUAGGUCACCCACUUGAGGGAAAAUUGCUACUGUCCUACAAACCUCUUCACUUGGAGGCCCAACAACGUCUACAAGAGAAGGUUGCGUAGUAGACAUCAGGGCAGAGGUGAAGGUUGAUACGUCUCCAACGUAUCUAUAAUUUUUGAUUGCUCCAUGCUACUUUAUCUACUGUUUUGGACUAUAUUGGGCUUUAUUUUUCACUUUUAUGUUAUUUUUGCAACUAACCUAUUAACCGGAGGCCCAGCCCAGAAUUGCUGUUUUUGCCUAUUUCAGUGUUUCGAAGAAACAAAAUAUCAAACGGAGUCCAAACGGAAUGAAACCUUCGGAAACGUGAUUUUCUAACCGAACGUGAUCCAGGAGACUUGGACCCUACUCCAAGAAGUAACAGAGGCGGUCAUGAGGGUGGGGGCGCCCCCUCCCCAGGGCGCACCCCCCAGCCUCGUGGGCCCCCUGUUGCUUCAUCGACAUACUCCUUCCUCCUAUAUAUACCUACGUACCCCCAAACAAUCAGAACAAGAGCCAAAAACCUAAUUCCACCGCCGCAACUUUCUGUAUCCACGAGAUCCCAUCUUGAGGCCUGUUCCGGAGCUCCGAGGGGGCAUCCACCAUGGAGGGCUUCUACAUCAACACCAUAGCCCCUCCGAUGAAGUGUGAGUAGUUUACUUCAGACCUUCGGGUCCAUAGCUAGUAGCUAGAUGGCUUCUUCUCUCUUUUUGGAUCUCAAUACAAUGUUCAACCCCUCUCUCGUGGAGAUCUAUUUGAUGUAAUCUUCUUUUUGCGGUGUGUUUGUUGAGAUCGAUGAAUUGUGGGUUUAUGAUCCAGCUUAUCUAUGAAUAAUAUUUGAAUCUUCUCUGGAUUCUUUUAUGUAUGAUUGAGUUAUCUUUGCAAGUCUCUUCGAAUUAUCCAUUUGGUUUGGCCAACUAGAUUGGUAGUUCUUGCAAUGGGAGAAGUGCUUAGCUUUGGGUUCAAUCUUGCGGUGUCCUUUCCCAGUGACAGAAGGGGCAACAAGGGACGUAUUGUAUUGUUUCCAUCGAGGAUAACAAGAUGGGUUUUUUAUCAUAUUGCAUGAAUUUAUCCCUCUACAUCAUGUCAUCUUGCUUAAGGCAUUACUCUGUCUUUAACUUAAUACUCUAGAUGCAUGCUGGAUAGCGGUCGAUGAGUGGAGUAAUAGUAGUAGAUGCAGAAUCGUUUCGGUCUGCUUGUCUUGGACAUGAUGCCUAUAUACAUGAUCAUACCUAGAUAUACUCAUAACUAUGCUCAAUUCUGUCAAUUGCUUAACAGUAAUUUGUUCACCCACCAUAGAAUAUCUAUGCUCUUGAGAGAAGCCACUAGUGAAACCUAUGGCCCCCGGGUCUAUUCUCAUCAUAUAAAUCUCCAUUACUAUAAUACUUGCUUUGUUUUUACUUUGCCUUUUACUUUUCACUUUGCACCUAUAUACCAAAAAUACCAAAAAUAUUAUUUAUCAUCUCUAUCAGAUCUCACUCUCGUAAGUGACCGUGAAGGGAUUGACAGCCCCUAAUCGCGUUGGUUGCGAGGAGCUAUCAUUUUGUGUAGGUACGAGGGACUUGUGCGUGGCCUCCUACUGGAUUGAUACCUUGGUUCUCAAAAACUGAGGGAAAUACUUACGCUACUUUGCUGCAUCAUCCUCUCCUCUUCGGGGAAAUCCAACACAGUGCUCAAGAGGUAGCAAGAAGAGUUUCUGGCGCCGUUACCGGGGAGGCUCACGCAAGAGCAAGUCAACCAUACCAAGUACCCAUCACAAUCCCUAUCUCUCGCAUUACAUUAUUUGCCAUUUGCCUCUCGUUUUCCUCUCCGCCACUUCACCCUUGUUGUUUUAUUCGCCCUCUCUUUCCCAAUCUCCUCCUCUUUUUCCCGCUUGCCUUUUUGUUUGCUCGUGUGUUAGUUUGCUUGCUUGUCGUCCUGACUAGUCUCAUAUCUUCUCCGUUAUCUCCCGAGAAUGAAGUUCUAAAUUUUAAACAAAGGGAGGGAGAAAAUCUAAAAGACUCUUGGUAUAGAAUUUGCAAUGCUCAAAAUAGAUCUACCAGGAAGCAAUCUACUUUAGUUCUUCUUCGUAAUACGUAGGUGCUAAUCCUUGAUAUAGAUAUAUCCUUGAUACCAUUACCGGAAGGAAUUUCUUGGGUAGCCAUACUUUUGAUUCUUAUCAUGCUUUAAUAGAUUUAUUUGGCUCACCACCUCUUUUGAUUAAUGGAAUUAUGUUAACUUUGGAGCAUGUUAUGCAAAGACUUGAAAUUAUUGAGAAUAAAGUUGCUACCAUUGAAUCAAUUGAAAAUCUUGAUAAAAAGAUCCACAAUCAAAUUACCCAAUAUGGAUCUAAGGUAGGAAUGACUUUGAAAAAUAUUAAAGAAAAAGAACCCAUAGUUAAUGAGAAAAUAAAUCUAGAUUCCACAAGAAUCCAUAAACUUGAGGGUAUCAUUACCAACUUGGGAACCGCUUUUUCUUCCGUACAAAACACUCCAAGUUAGUCUACUAAAAAUACUAAGCUUAUUUAUGUUCCUAAGAAUAAGGGUGAAUCAUCUAGUAAGGAAUCUGCGGAUCUUAAAUCUAUAAGUGUUCAUCCCGAUCUUUUUGCCAUCAUUAAGGAACCAUUUGCUAUGAAUGAAUUUUUCGAUCUUUUGCCUGAAAAUUCGACAAUUACUAGAAAGAAAGAAAAUUCUAAAGGAGGUAGAUGCCUCAUUGAAGAAUUGCCUACCAAAGAUGGCAAUACCUAGAUCUAUCCUUGCUUUUAUGCCUAGCUAGGGGCGUUAAACGAUAGCGCUUGUUGGGAGGCAACCCAAUUUUAUUUUUAGUUUUUAGUUUUUGCUUCUGUUUAGGAAUAAAUAAUCCAUCUAGCCUCUAUUUAGAUGUGGUUUUAUGUUUUAAUUAGUAUUUGUGCCAAGUAGAACCUAUAGGAUAACCUACGAUGAUAGUUGAUUUGAUUCUGCUGAAAAACAGAAACUUUGCGCGCACGAAUAUAAUUUUGUUAAAUCAUAGAAACAUGCUUUUGCGUUGAUUAUUUUUGCUGCUGUUCAAUAAGCAAAUUGUACAGGACUUCCUAUUUUGGUAGGAUUGUUAGAGUUGCAGAAGUUUGCAUUAGGUACAGAUUACUACAGACUAUUCUGUUUUUGACAGAUUCUGUUUUGCGUGUGUUGUUUGCUUAUUUUGAUGAAUAUAUGGCUAGUAAAAUAGUUUAUGAUCCAUAGAGAAGUUGUAAUACAGUAGGUUUAACACCAAUAUAAAUAAAAAAAGAGUUCAUUACAGUACCUUAAAGUAGUCUUUUGUUUUCUUUCUCUAACGGAGGUCACGAGAUUUCUAUUGAGUUUUGUGUUGUGAAGUUUUCAAGUUUUGGGUGAAUUCUUUUGAUGGAUUAUGGAAAAAGGAGUGGCAAGAGCCUAAGCUUGGGGAUGCUCAUGGCAACCCCAAGAUAAUACAAGGACACCAAAAAGUCAAAGCUUGGGGAUGCCCCGGAAGGCAUCCCCUCUUUCGUCUACUUCCAUCGGUAAUUUACUUGGAGCUAUAUUUUUAUUCACCACAUGAUAUGUGUUUUGCUUGGAGCGUCUUGUAUUAUUUGCGUCUUUGCUUGUUAGUUUACCACAAUCAUCCUUGUUGUACACACCUUUUGAGAGAGCCAUGCAUGAAUUGGAAUUUGCUAGAAUACUCUAUGUGCUUCACUUAUAUCUUUUGAGCUUGAUGGUUUUGCUCGUAGUGCUUCACUUAUAUCUUUUGAGCGUGAUAAUUUUUGCUCUAGUGCAUCACUUAGAUCUUUUAGAGCACGGUUGUGGAUUUGUUUUAAAGAAACUAUUGAUCUCUCAUGCUUCACUUAGAUUAUUUUGAGAGUCGUUAAUAGCAUGGUAAUUUGCUUAAUAUUAAUAUACUUGGUAUUCAAGAUAUGUGAAACUUUCUUUUGAGUGUGUUGAAUACUAAGAUAAGUUUGAUGCUUGAUAAUUGUUUUGAGAUAUGGAGGUGAUAAUAUCAAAGUCGUGCUAGUUGAGUAAUUGUGAAUUUGAGAAAUGCUUGUGUUGAAGUUUGCAAGUCCUGUAGCAUGCACCUAUGGUUAAAGUUGUGUAACAAAUUUGAAACAUGAAGUGUACCUGGCUUGUGCAUCCUUAUGAGUGGCGGUCGGGGACGAGUGAUGGUCUUUUCCUACCAAUCUAUCCCCCUAGGAGCAUGCGCAUAGUACUUGAUUUUUGAUGACUUCUAAAUUUUUGCAAUGAGUAUAUGAGUUCUUUUGACUAAUGUUGAGUCCAUGGAUUAUACGCACUUUUACCUUUCCGCCUUUGCUAGCCUCUUCGGUACCGUGCAUUGCCCUUUCUCACCUUGAGAGUUGGUGCAAACUUCGCCGGUGCAUCCAAACCCCGUGAUAUGAUACGCUCUAUCACACAUAAACCUCCUUAUAUCUUCCUCAAAACAGCCACCAUACCUAUCUAUCAUGGCAUUUUCAUAGCCAUUCCGAGAUAUAUUGCCAUGCAACUUUCAUCAUCAUAUACAUGACAUACAUUACUUUUGUCAUAUUGCCAUUGCAUGAUCAUGUAGUUGACAUCGUAUUUGUGGCAAAGCCACCAUGCAUUAUUUUUCAUACAUGUCAGUCUUGAUUCAUUGCACCAUCCCGGUACACCGCCGGAGGCAUUCAUAUAGAGUCAUAUCUUGUUCUAGUUUCGAGUUGUAAUCCUUAUGUUGUAAUCAAUAGAAGUGUGAUGAUCAUCAUUAUUAGAGCAUUGUCCCAAAAAAAAGAAAAAAAGAAAAAAAGGAAAGGCCAAAAAGAAAAAAAAGGAAAGGCCAAAAAAAGAGAAAAAAAGAAAAAAAAAAGAGAAAAUAAAUAAAAAGGGACAAUGCUACUAUCUCUUUUUCCACACUUGUGCUUCAAAGUAGCACCUUGUUCUUCAUGUAGUGAGUCUCAUAUAUUGUGCUUCAAAGUAGCACCUUGUUCUUCAUGUAGUGAGUCUCAUAAGUUGUCUUUUUAUACUAGUGGGAAUUUUGAAUUAUAGAACUUGGCUUGUAUAUUCCUACAAUGGGCUUCCUCAAAUGCGCUAGGUCUUCAUGAGCAGGCGAGUUGGAUGCACACCCACUAGUUUUCUUUUGUUGAGCAUUCAUAGCUCUAGUGCAUACGUUGCAUGGCAAUCCCUACUCCUCAUGUUGACAUCAAUUGAUGGGCAUCUCCAUAGCCCGUUGAUUAUUAUCCUCGUCAAUGUGAGACUUUCUCCUUUUUUUGUCUUCCCCACACAAUCCCCAUCAUCAUAUUCUAUUCCACCCGUAGUGCUAUAUCCAUGGCUCACGCUCAUGUAUUGCGUGAAGGUUGAAAAAGUUUGAUAUUAUUUAAGUAUGAAACAAUUGCUUGGCUUGUCAUCGGGGGUAUAGAAGUUGGGAAAAUCUUUGUGUGACGAAAAUGAAGCAUAGCCUAACUAUAUGAUUUUGUAGGGAUGAACUUUCUUUUGCCAUGCUAUUUUGAGAAGACAUGAUUGCUUUGAUUAGUAUGCUUGAAGUAUUAUUAUUUUUAUGUCAAUAUGAACUUUUGUCUUGAAUCUUUCGGAUCUGAAUAUUCAUGCCACAAUUAAGAAGAUUUACAUUGAAAUUAUGCCAAAGUAUCACUCCGCAUCAAAAAUGCUCUUUUUAUCAUUUACCUACUCGAGGACGAGCAGGAAUUAAGCUUGGGGAUGCCUGAUACGUGUCCAACGUAUCUAUAAUUUUUGAUUGAUCCAUGCUACUUUAUCUACUGUUUUGGACUAUAUUGGGCUUUAUUUUCCACUUUUAUGUUAUUUUUGGGACUAACCAAUUAACCGGAGGCCCAGCCCAGAAUUGUUUUUUUUCUAUUUCAGUGUUUCGAAGAAACGGAAUAUCAAACGGAGUCCAAACAGAAGGAAACCUUCGGAAACGUGAUUUUCUCACCGAACGUGAUCCAGGAGACUUGGACCAUACUCCAAGAAGUAACAGAGGCGGUCACGAGGGUGGGGGGCGCGCCCCCUACCUCGUGGGCCCCCUGUUGCUCAACCGAUGUACUCCUUCCUCCUAUAUAUACCUACGUACCCCCAAACGAUCAAAACAGGAGCCAAAAACCUAAUUCCACCGCCGCAACUUUCUGUAUCCACGAGAUCCCAUCUUGGGGCCUGUUCCAGAGCUCCGCCGGAGGGGGCAUCCACCACAGAGGGCUUCUAUAUCAACACCAUAGCCCCUCCGAUGAAGUGUGAGUAGUUUACUUCAGACCUUCGGGUCCAUAGCUAGUAGCUAGAUGGCUUCUUCUCUCUUUUUGGAUCUCAAUACAAUGUUCUCCCCCUCUCUCGUGGAGAUCUAUUCGAUGUAAUCUUCUUUUUGCGGUGUGUUUGUUCAGACCGAUGAAUUGUGGGUUUAUGAUCCAGCUAUCUAUGAAUAAUAUUUGAAUCUUCUCUGAAUUCUUUUAUGUAUGAUUGAGUUAUCUUUGCAAGUCUCUUCGAAUUAUCCUUUGGUUUGGCCAACUAGAUUGGUAGUUCUUGCAAUGGGAGAAGUGCUUAGCUUUGGGUUCAAUCUUGCGGUGUCCUUUCCCAGUGACAGAAGGGGCAGCAAGGCACGUAUUGUAUUGUUGCCAUCGAGGAUAACAAGAUGUGGUUUUUAUCAUAUUGCAUGAAUUUAUCCCUCUACAUCAUGUCAUCUUGCUUAAGGCGUUACUCUGUUUUUAACUUAAUACUCUAGAUGCAUGCUUGAUAGCGGUCGAUGAGUGGAGUAAUAGUAGUAGAUGCAGAAUCGUUUCGGUCUACUUGUCUUGGAUGUGAUGCCUAUAUACAUGAUCAUACCUAGAUAUACUCAUAACUAUGCUCAAUUCUGUCAAUUGCUCAACAGUAAUUUGUUCACCCACCAUAGAAUAUCUAUGCUCUUGAGAGAAGCCACUAGUGAAACCUAUGGCCCCCGGGUCUAUUCUCAUCAUAUCAAUCUCCAUUACUUUAAUACUUGCUUUGUUUUUACUUUGCCUUUCACUUUUCACUUUGCAUCUAUAUACCAAAAAUACCAAAAAUAUUAUUUAUCAUCUCUAUCAGAUCUCACUCUCGUAAGUGAUCGUGAAGGGAUUGACAACCCCUAAUCGCGUUGGUUGCGAGGAGCUAUCAUUUUGUGUAGGUAAGAGGGACUUGUGCGUGGCCUCCUACUGGAUUGAUACCUUGGUUCUCAAAAACCGAGGGAAAUACUUAUGCUACUUUGCUGCAUCAUCCUCUCCUCUUCGGGGAAAUCCAGCGCAGUGCUCAAGAGGUAGCAAAGGUCAACGGCGGUGGCAGCGCUCGAGUGCUGAGGCGACGUGAGGUGGAAGACAGACGAAGAGGCAAGGGGAGAAAAGGAAAGGGACCCUCGGCCCUAUUUAUAAGAUGAAGAGAUAAGUGACAGGCACAGGAAUCGAGGAGCCCAAAAAAUGGAUAUGUCCCAGACCCGUCUCCUCGAUUUUCGGAGGCUCAUUAAUAAAAUUAAGGUAUAUACAGUUUUUUUAAUGAACAGGUGAUGUCAUGGCAAUUUAUUAUAAUCCUGGAAGAUGACGUCAUGGCGGUUUAUUAUAAUCCUGGAAGAUGACGUCAUGGCGGAUUACAAGGUUUACUCGAAGGUACUAAAGAAGAAAUUUUUCUAAAGUGUUGAAGAUUGACAUGAACAGGUUCAAAUCAAUCUGGGGCCUAAUGUUGGGGAUAUAACUACUGAGUAUAAACCGCCCAGGAGGGGUCGGGUUAUACCUGUAAUGAGUUAUUCAUAUUGAAGCCCAUGAAGACAAGGUGUAUGACGCUUUAAUAUAAGAGAUCUAAAAGCCCAGGGCCCAAAGGCGGAUUUGGGCCCAUAGACAUAAACCGCCAUAAGGUGUGUAACUUGUGUUGUAAGAUAGGAAAGAGUAGAAACCGAGCCGCACAUGUUUAUGAGCCGGUCGGGAUUCUAUAAACCGCAGGGCGUCAAGCUGUGUAUAUAAAGGGAUGACCCGGCGGUAGUUCAAGGAUAAGAAACAACAACUCGAGAGCCAGGCAAAGCGUAUUCGCUCCCUGGUCAUCGAAACCAUAGCAAUCCCAUCAUAACUGGAGUAGGCUUUACCUUCACCGUAAGGGGACGAACCAGUAUAAUUCCGUGCGUCCUUUGUCAGCUUUAACCCCUUUAAGUUCACUAUGUUGCAAUGGCUCCACGACUAAGUCCUCACACUAGGACAUCUGCCGUGACAAUCCCACGACAAGCGGGGAAAUAUUUAGCAGAGAAAUAAUAAAUCAUAUCCUGGGGACUACGCACACAACCAGGAUCAAGAGAAUUAAACCAUGUUUUAGCAUCACCCUUUAAUGAGAACGGGAAUAACUUAAGGAUAAAGUAAUAGCGAGUUUUCUCAUCAUUAGUGAAUAGGGUGGCUAUAUCAUUUAAUUUAGUAAGAUGUGUCACAACAGUUUCAGAUUCAUAGCCAUAGAAAGGAUCAGAAUCAACCAAAGUAAUUAACUCAGGAUCGACUGAGAAAUCAUAAUCCUUAUCGGAAAUAAAGAUAGGUGAAGUAGCAAAAGCAGGGUCAUAUUUCAUUCUAGCAUUCAAAGACUUUUCUUUAAGCUUAGCUAAUAAUUUCUUAAGAUCAGAUCUAUCAUUGCAAUCUAAGAAGUCUCUAGCAGUUUCUUCAUCCAUAACAUAACUCCCAGGCACAAUAGGCAAUUCAUAUCUAGGGGGGAGAAUCUUCAUCAUCACUUUCGUCAAUAUUAUCAGUUUUAGCAAUUUCAUUCUCUCUAACCCUAGCAAGUUGUUCAUCAAGAAAUUCACCUAAUGACACAGUAUUAUCAAGCAUAGAAGUAGUUUCAUCAUAAGUAUCAUGCAAAGCAGAAGUGGCAUCAUCAAUAACAUGCGACAUAUCAGAAUGAAUAGCAGGAGUAGGUGUCGCAAGUUUACUCAAAACAGAAGGUGAAUCAAGUGCUGAGCUAGAUGGCAGUUUCUUACCUCCACUCAUAGUUGAGGGAAAAUCUUGGUUCUUUUAUCUUUCAAGUUCUUCAUAGUGAUCAGCAGAUAUAAAACCCAAGUGACUCAAAGAAUAGAGCUAUGCUCCCCGGCAACAGCGCCAGAAAAUAGUCUUGAUAACCCACAAGUAUAGGGGAUCACAAUAGUUCUCGAGGGUAGAGUAUUCAACCCAAAUUUAUUGAUUCAACACAAGGGGAGCCAAAGAAUAUUAUCAAGUAUUAGCAGCUGAGUUGUCAAUUCAACCACACCUGGAAACUUAAUAUCUGCAGCAAAGUAUUUAGUAGCAAAGUAAUAUGAUAGUAGCGGCAACGGUGGCAAAAGUGACGGUAGCAGUUUUGUAGUGAUUGUAACAGUGGAAACGGAAAAGUAACUAAGCAAAGAUCAAUAUAUGAAAAGCUCAUAGGCAAUUGAUCAGUGAUGGAUAAUUAUGUCGGAUGCGAUUCCUCAUGCAAUAGUUAUAACAUAGGGUGACACAGAACUAGCUCCAGUUCAUCAAUAUAAUGUUGGCAUGUAUUCAGAUAUAGUCAUACGUGCUUAUGGAAAAGAAAAUGCAUGACAUCUUUUGUCCUACCCUCCCGUGGCAAUGGGGUCCUAUUGGAAACUAUGGGAUAUUAAGGCCUCCUUUUAAUAGAGUACCGGGAAUACAUCAACACCUCAAACUACGGUCAUCACCGGUAAGUAUACCGAUUAUUGUCACUUCGGGGUUAACGGAUCAUAACACAUAAUAGGUGACUAUAGACUUGCAAGAUAGGAUCAAGAACUCACAUAUAUUCAUGAAAACAUAAUAGGUUCAGAUCUGAAAUCAUGGCACUCGGGCCCUAGUGACAAGCAUUAAGCAUAGCAAAGUCAUAGCAACAUCAAUCUGGGAACAUAAUGGAUACUAGGGAUCAAACCCUAACAAAACUAACUCGAUUACAUGAUAAAUCUCAUCCAACCCAUUACCAUCCAGCAAGCCUACAAUGGAAUUACUCACGCACGUCGGUGAGCAUCUUUAAACCUCGCCUCGGCAACUUGCAAUACCCGUCACGAAGCUUCAGAAGUAUAUCACCUCAGCGCAGGAAGGGACGUUCAUUCCCGACAGAGAAAAGGACGAGCUGAUUGAGGCCCUAGGGAAUGCUGAGCACCCUGGACGAACACGAGGCACUCCAGGCUCCGUUCUAUGGAAGUUUGGGUUUCCCGAUGCAGGCGGUUACAAAAGCCGGGAGAGAAAGAGGAAAGAGGAGAUGAGCGACAUGUAGAAGCUCAAUGCAAGACUACAAAAGCUAGAGGAAGCUGAGAGCAAGCGAGCUGCCGACCAACCAUCUCAGCGGCACGAAGCUACCCCAGAAACUACCCCGCCAUCUCAGCGGAGAAGCAGCGUGGCUUCCACGGAGCCCGUUCAUCCUGACUUCAUGUCUCCUAGCACGGAGGCUCAACAUUGCGAGCUUAUGACGAAAUGCCGGAACCUCACUUUCAAGGCGUCUACAAGCGAAGGGGAGAAUUGGCUGGUUCAUGCUCUGAGGAGUACAUGUCUAUGGCAGAAGGAGUACAUCAAGCUUCCAAACUGGACGCCUCUGCUUCCUGCUCCUCCUCCGGCGAGUCAGGGCACUCCGCCUCCUCCUCCUCUGGCGAGUGAUCAGGGCACUCCGCCUCCUUCUCCGGCUCCUCUGACACGUGAGGGCACUCCGCCUCCUCCUUCGCAUACUACGGCGCGUCGGAGCAGUCCGCCUCCUCCUCAGCCUCGUCGGCAAUGGCGGAAGACAAACACCGUCGCUCUGGCUCCUUUGGUACGUCAGAUUUCUCCGCCUCGUCGGCAACAAUGGAAGAGAGACGCCGCCGCUCCGGUGGCUAGCAGUAUAAGCAGAGGCGGGAGCCAAUUUAGAUACGGUCCAUCUCUCAAGCCUCUGGAAAGUUACCAUAUGAGAGGACCGAGCAGGAAAAUGAGGACAUAUGUCGUGCCCAACUAAGGGACCAUUUUGCAAAGAAAACUCCACCUCUGAAGGAGAAGGUAGAUCCGGUGAAAGUGAAGCGCACUAUCAAUGCCCUGAAGCGACCACCACUGCCUCCGCCGGAUUCCAACUAUGGCCGCAUAAUUACUAAGACACAUGCUAAAGCGCAGCAGUCGGGAAGUACUUCCAGUGCUGCAAGAGCGAAAAAACGAAGAAGUGGGAAAACAAUUCCUCAGCUCGGCGAACAGGAGAAGCAAUCGUGCCCCCCGCUCAAGGUGUCUAGCGAUAUCGCUAAUCAUCCGAUGCUACUGCCCGAUACCACUCUUGAUGAUUACCUGCCCAAUGAUGUAUAGUUUGAAACGGCUGAGGUAGUAGACGUCUUUAGAUACGAGCAUGGGAAGCCUCUCGUCAAACCUGAUCAUCCUCAUCUAACAACGAUGAUGCAAAAAUUGCAUGACUGGUACAUGGAAACCUAGAGGAAGUCUGGGAAAGACAUUUGUUAGUCGGAAUUAAAAAAGAGCAUGACUUCCUUGGAAUCGACCUGCUGCCUGUUGAAUUUGUGGAGUUAUUUCAAUUAUACAAUCACAAGGCCCUCGACAAACAACUCAUGACUUGCUACUGUCUGUAAGUAUUACUUCUAUAAUUAAGUCUCUAGCUCAGCUCACUCAUUGCAUGUAUAUAUAAUUAUCCUCACUAUAUUAUGCAGAUUGAAGAUGGUCGAAUGCAAAAAAAUAGGAAUCUUCGACGUUGGGUUCAUUAGCCCAAAUACCGUAAAUGAAUGGUCGAUACGAAAGGCGGCUGAAGAUACCGAGAACAACUUACUACAAACGUUCCUUACACAUCAAAACAAAAGGGAAAUACUCUUUCCUUACAACUUCAAGUGAGUGUUACUGUCUUCUGCAUAUUCAGUUCCGCUUACUCGUGGUUAAGUAAUGUAAUUGAUGAGUUAUGCGUGCGCAGCUUCCACUAUAUUCUGCUAUCCAUUAACCUUGAUGGGGCAUUCGUAAUUGUCUUAGACUCGCUCCGUAAAGAUCCCAAGUAUUAUGCGGACACGACUGCAAUGCUCCAGAAGUAAGUUCAAUCAAUACCGAGACCAUAUCGGCAACUUUUAUUCAUUUCCUGAUAUCAAGUAAUCAUUUUCUUUGCCUGCCAGGGUUUGGAAAACGUUCACCGCUAAGGUUCCGGGUCUGAAGAAGGAGCUGCAAUUUACACACACCAAAGUAAGUAGUACAAGCUAGUUUCACGCAUCUCUCAUUGAUUCUAGUUUAAUCAAUAUCAUUAUCAUGCUUGCUUAUCAGUUUGACUGAACUCUAUUCUCGUAAAGUGCUUGUUGCAGGCACCCAACACUCAUUUAUGUGGAUACUACGUAUGCGAGUUCAUUCGCUACUAUACCUCUGAACGGGCCUCCUAUGAGAAACAAUUUGAAGUACGCAAACAAUAUUCACAAUUUUAUUUUAUAUAUUACCAUCAAUUGUGUUGAGUUUCAUUCAUAUAUAUGUAUUGACACCUUCUUUAAAUUAGAUCUGGCAGAUGCGGGAUGAACUCCUACCACAUGAUCGCAUACGAGCAAUUCAAGAGGAAUUGGCAGGAUUCUUUCUUGACCACGUCAUACCUGAACAAGGAGAAUACCAUGUGAAAUUGAAAUUGUUGUAAGGGAUGUUAUAUAUUGUACAUAUGUAGCAGCGUCGGAUGGAUAUACGAAAACUUGUUAUUCGACCAAGCACGAAGAAAGAUAUGUCACUUCUCUCUAUAUAUGUUCAUGACGAUCUUGUGUAAUUAAUGGUUUCCUUUAGUUGCUUACUAGCUAGCGUCGAGUUCUCUCUAUAUGUGUAGUAGCUAGAGUCAACCAAGCACGGAAAAAGAGAGGUCACUUCUCUCUAUUAGCUCGGUAACACAAUACGAAACCCCUAAAUUAACCCUCCAAAACCCCAACCCCCCCCCUCCCCCCCGUCCAAAAAAAAACAAAACCCCCAGUGACUGCGAGCUGCUGACGCGUGGCCGCCUUUUGGUCCUGGUUGGUGUUACCAACCGGGACUAAAGGUCCUCCCUCCCCCGCCCCAGGCAGUGCCACGUGGAGGGCCUUUGGUCCCGGUUCGUAAGCAAACCGGGACUAAAGGUUUUGGGUAUUAGUCCCGACCCUUUAGUCCCGGUUCCAGAACCAGGACAAAUGGCCCUCUGGAACCGGGACAAAUGGCCCUUUUUGUACUAGUGACUUCUCAUAGAAGAUACUUACAGAUAGACAUAAUCUCCUACUUCGAAAAUUAAUUCUCUUCUUCGAUUAUCUGCAUAGCUCUUCUGACGAGUUUGUGCCACUCUCAAGUUCUCUCUAAUCAACCUGACUUGUUCCUCGGCAUUCCUGAGCACAUCUGGUCCAAAGACUUAACUUUCACCCGUUUGAUUCCAGAACAACGGUGUUCUACACUUACGCCCAUACAAUGCUUCAAACGGUGCCAUCUUUAGACUAUUCUGGUGAUUGUUGUUGUAAGAGAACUCCGCAUACGGUAAACUUUUAUCCCAACUAGUAUCAUACUGCAAUGCACAAGCUCUCAACAUAUCUUCAAGAAUCUGAUUGAGCCUUUCUGUCUGUCCAUCAGUCUGAGGAUGAUAUGCUGUACUGAAAUUCAACUUCGUUCCCAAUGAUUUAUGCACUUUCUGCCAAAAGAUGGACGUGAACUGCGGACCUCUAUCAGACACAAUCUUCUUAGGAACUCCAUGCUGACAUACUAUUCUUUCCAUGUAUAGCUCUGCCAAUCUUGCCCCGCUAUAAGUAGUCUUGACAGGCAAAAAGUGAGCGACUUUAGUGAGACGAUCCACUAUUACCCAUAUAGAAUCAUAACCUUGCUGAGUGUGUGGUAAUCCCACUAUAAAGUCCGUUCCGACUUCUUCCCAUUUCCACUCAGGAAUCUUCAUUGGUUGCAACAAACUAGCGGGUCUCUGAUGCUCAGUCUUUACCCUCUGACAAGUGUCACAUAUAGCUACAUACUCAGCCACAUCUCUUUUCAAUCCAUACCAGCAGUACUUCUCCUUAAGAUUUAGAUACAUCUUAGUACUUCCAGGAUGGAUAGAAUAGGCUGUCUCAUGUGCUUCACGCAAAAUUGUAUCAUGAAUGGCUUUCACCUCAGGCACACAUAUCCUUUUUCCAAACCAUAAGGUUCCAUUUUCAUCAAUUCUGAAGCCAGGUGCUUUACCAGUCACCACAUUAUCAGCUAUCUCCUUUAGCUUUUCAUCUUCUAGUUGACCCUUACGUAUUUCUUGCUCCAACGUAGGAAUCACUUUUAUCUCCAUAGCACUAGCAACAAUACCAAGGUUCAGAUGUUGCAACUCCGCAUACAACUCUUCUGCCUCUGGUCUCAACUUACGAUUGUUGUCAUAUUUCUUCCUACUGAGAGCAUCAGCUACAACAUUCGCCUUACCUGGAUGAUAAUGUACCUCCGGUUCAUAAUCCUUGAUUAACUCUAGCCAGCGACGUUGUCUUAAAUUCAGACAUGUCUGAGUGAAUAUAUACUUCAAGCUCUUAUGAUCGGUGUAGAUAUCACUCUUGUGACCAAUCAGAUAGUGUCUCCAGAUCUGCAAUGCAUGUACCACAGCUGCUAGCUCCAGAUCAUGAGUAGGAUAAUUUAACUCAUGCUUCCUCAACUGUCUCGAUGCAUGCGUCGGUGGUGGUGAUCUCAUGUCCGCUUGCACCGUGUUCGAUGAAACGCCAACGAGGGUCAAAAGCUUCGAACCACAUCGGCAUCGCUCGGGGUAGCAGCGGGUACACGCUGGAGUGUUGGAUGUGAUGCUUGGCCAUCUCCAACUCACGAGCGUGUAAGAGAGAAAUCAUGAGACAGUAAUGAUUUAAUUUGGUUUUGCAAUGUUUUUAUUUUAAAAAUAGUUGGUUUAUCUUUGUAAAAUAGUUAUUUACAUGAGAAUUAUUGAACAAAAUAGUUUUUAAAGAGCAAUUUGCAUUCAAGCAGUCUUCAUUCUUAACGAAGCUACGAGUUCACAUUUGCUCUAACCAAACGGUCUUCAGUUUUUGCCACCACAGGAGCCUUGUAUUAGCUCUUGCGGUGCGAACGGGAGCUCGGAUGUCCAUGCGACGAAGCUGAUCUAUGAAAGUGGCCUUGGUGAUCCUGUGCCCCGGUUGGUAGGUUGGGAGACAGCAGGGAUGCAAGCCAGCGCCAACGAUGGGCGAAGAUUGCACGACGGAUGAGCGGCGCUAGAGAUGGAAAGUCUGCUGGAGCAGUUUAGGUGAAAGGAUAAAGAUGUAGUUUUCAUUUUUUUUUCUAAUAAUGAAAGUCGGACUCAACUUUAUGGAACUGGGCCUUAUGACACGUAGGGCCCAUCUGAAGCUUCUAGAGUUGUUAAUCCUGUGGUUGAGAAUGUGUGUGACAAAGCAUGUGUUUGAGUAUUUACUAUCUAGGGAAGUAUAAACAAAUUACAAUCUCAGUGGACCCAUAAGCUAAUAUCCUUGAAUGUUUUUUUUUUUCUGUUUGUGUGUAUAUGUCGCAAGUUUUCUUGUUUUAUUUUAGGUUUGGUACUGUAGCUAGGUCUAGAAUAGUUUUUUUUUUGUUCUUUUUUUAAUUUCAAAAAAAUCGAGGGAUGUCUCAGUUUUUAUUAAAAGAAAGAAAUAUUUGGUCCAAAGUUGAAUGAGCGUGUCAUGCAGGGUUAAAUCGGAAGAUAAACUGAUGAAACACAUGAUGCAUUAGUGGAUAUAUAUGUAAAUCACACGGGUGAUUUGAAGACAAAUUGAAAAACUAUAUGUCCAAUACUUGCACUCACGGGCAUUUUUGCUACUAUUAAUAAAUUGGUAAAAAUCAGAGAAUGCGAGGCCUGGCCAAAUGGGCCGGCCCGGCCUGGGUUAAACGGGCCCGAACCCCUCUUGCCCUCUCUCCUAUAAAAGCUGUGCUUUUACCCCCGCACUCCAUCGCCUCGCCGCCGUUCCCCGCAACACCCUGUCGACCCAAUCUCACAUCCUCCUCUCGCCCGCCCGAGGUGAGCACUUGUAGUUCCUCUGGAUUGGUUGGUAGGCGCUGGUUCGUAGGUCUCGGAUCCAGCCAGCGUGGUCUCCCUCCGCGUGCAUCCGGAGUUUCUCGUUCCGAUUGUGGUUGGUAGGCGCGGCGCGGCGCGGGUUCAUAGGUGUCGGAUCCAGCGCCGUCUGUAUCCUAUUCGUAUGAGGAACCUCGGCUAGGAUAGGAUUUGAUUAGUUAGGUUUUGUAUUAGGGUAACACCACCUAGCUAGGGUUCGAUUGAUUAUCCGUAACAAGGAAUCAAUCUGACGUUUUAGUUAGGGUUUGCUUGGUUGGUUGUGGUCAGAUUUUGGUUUCUCAUGAAUUCUUCAACUGUGCCUGUCGCGAUUUUGG